GCAGAGGCAGGCCCAGCGUUUAAGGAGAAACAUGGCAUGAGCAGGGGUGCAGUGAUGUGAAGGGCCACUGUCUGAAUCAGGAUCAUCAACAUGCCUGCCAGGCCACCACCACCCCCCUAAUUGGAUGAUAACGCAUCAUACCAGCCAGGUUGUAUCAACUUGGUAGCAUCAGCUGACAUAAUAGAAAUCAUUGAGUGUUGUGAUGUGAUGCCAAAAUUACAUCUCAUACGACUAACAGUAGACAGGACGACGCAGGAAGGCAGGUGCCAACCAGCUUCAAUCAAUUUUUUUCCCCCGAAAGAUAGCUUCAAUCAAUUAGAUGAACAAAGGAACCAUCUCUCCAAAUCAAUUAGAUCAAUGGUGUUAACAUGUGAAGUUGUAGCUCUAUGCAAAUGCAAGAAACCAACUCUUCAAACCACAGUUGCUGUAUUCAGGGACAAUGUAGUCUUCCUGGUGCAAGGAAGGUGACGCACAUGAACAGGACAGCAAAUGGGCACUAUGAGUGACAAUCCGGCAUCCAUCUCCAUGUAACCAGAGAGCUUGUUUUCAAGCACUAACUCAAUGUACAAAGUUCCCUGAACCCCCCACACCGUGUAGAAUAACCACCAUGCACAAACAUUCUUGCCAUAAAUUUGCACAACCACUCAUACUGAAACCAUCAUAGAUACAAAGGUCAAAUUCCCACUAAGCAUAAUCAUUCUGGACUUCUCUCGCUUGGUAUUCUACUACAGCCAGCUAUAUUUGCCCAGCUAUUACCCCAUCAAAUCAAUGUUGAUCAACUUCUUGUAGUGCCAGUUAGCUUCUCAUACCUAUGGAAUGAUCUCCCUCUGAUCAGCAUCCCAGGUAGUCAACAAACAUGGAUGGUGAUCCUAAUAACAUAAGAGCAAACAGUUAACUAAGUCCAGAUAUCAUACAGAAGGUGCUAAGAAUAUAGUUUGUCCAAUCCAGGGUCUCCAGUUUACAACAGUAUACUACUCGAAUGAAAAAGAAACUAAAGUUUGGAUCUGUAAUGCAAGCAUAGACUAUGAACGAGGAAAAACUCUAUAGGCACCAAGAGUACCAUAAUCGCUAAUGCGCUAUUGGCAGCACACAAAAAAAACAGAGUAAAAGAUAAAACAGAAUAAACAAGCAAUUAAGAAAAGGCAAAGUUUUCUGUAUAGCGCCCAGGCAGUGAUUCAUGAGAUCCCGUAACAACAGCAAACAUAUGUAACAAAGAAAAUCACUACUUUAUCUGUUUCCUAAAAGAUGAAAUACAAAAAGUAGAUCAUUUUGCAGUCCUGCACGACCCAGCAUUAAAUAAUAGCUAGAACUCUAAAACAUGUGGAAACAUCAUUCGUGCGGACCACCCAAAAUGGCCUCCAAGCCAUAAUGGUGUGCAGACUAAUGCUUGGCAAAACCACAAAAGUAUAAUACACAUGAAUUUCAGAACUUGAAUUGCAUAUUUAGCAAGCAGAAAUAACGGUAACCACAUCCAAUGUUUAGCAAGCUGAAAUAACAGUAACCAGAUCGUGCUUAAUUCCCCCCUAUCACUAUUAAUUUCCAUUAAAACGUUCAUGCAACUACGAUGUAAGGGUCAUCUUUAUUACCCUGAUAUUAGCAUCAAUAUAAAACCCAGUAUUUCACAAUGUACACCAGAACUUAAUACAUUCAUUAAUAUGAGCAUGCCAACAAAGUAGAACUAUCAACAAAAAAAAAAUGAGCAUGCCUUCCAUGUAUUCACGGAGGUCAGGUCUCUAAAUAGUGAUUGAACAGAGGACACAUCCUUUGACCCUUGAAGACUCAUUGGACGCAUUAUAUACAGUUCGUUACUAUGAAGCAUUCUAAACAUAAAUCGGUGAAGAUUAACACUAAUAUGACAGGUUUUGGGCACGAAGCAAUAAGGCUCAAAGCGAAUAUCAACAUCCUACUUUACAUUGCAAGAUAUAGUGUUGAUAGUCCACAACUUCCUGUCAAGGAACUUUCAUGCUUUAAAAUAAAGAUCCACAUCACCCAGCUCAGCAGUUCUACACUAUGGCCAAUCAUAUGUGGGAAAUGACAAUCAAAAGCAUCCUAAGAAUUUGUGCUGUUCGCAAACAUUAGCUUCAAAUUGCUACAGAAUUCAUCAACUAAAAAUUAGUACAUCUUGUAUUGCGAUCAACCAUGUGAAAGACAAACCAUAGGUACGGACCAUGACUAAAAUCUUACCGUACCAGGCAAAGCUCUAUGUUCAUCUGUCCUCAAUAGCACUAGGCGCCUCAGUGAUUCAGCCAUAACUACUGCCAGUUCAUAUGAAUUGCUACAAGAAUUGCCCACUUCGGGAUAGGCGCCUCCAUCCACCCAUUGCUUGAUAGGUAAUGGCCGCUUAUCACACCUAAUUGACCUAGGCACCAACCUGUCUACGAUUUAGUGAUUGGUGCUUUUUAAAACACUGUAGGCCAUAUAGACAAAAUAGGGUAGGUUAGGGCCAACUAUACCAAGGCAGAACACAAACAUAAGCCAAUCCAAACAUCUGGCACUGGAAUGGUCUUUGGCAUUCACUACAUCAUGCAUGUGUUACAGAAUCUUAAAAUUGAAAAAAGAAAUUAAUACAACUGUAGGUUUUCCAAAUUCAUAGUGACCUUCACAGCUAUUGAUGUGGCCAGGUUUUCUCCGUUGCUUAACUGGGAGAGUAGAGAACCCAGGCUAGUCAAACAUAUAGGGUUAUAUACGUUUUUUUUGUCCAUUUGUGGUAACGUACUCACAUUGCCUUUGACAUUUGCCACAGACGUCACUACCAUUGAAAUUCCCACAAAACCAAUUCCUCUCUGCUCAAAUCUAAAUGAACAAGUAACUCGCACAAACAAGGACAGGAUUGAAGAAAAAAUGCUAGCCCCUUGAAACCCAAUCAACACGACAUAUUUCACAGGAUUGAAAACCUCUACAGUGGCCAACAUCCCAACACAAUACUAAUGGGUUUUCUGCACGUUCAUAAGUAAAAAAAAGAUGGUUUGCGAAUGGGUUCGCAGACAAAAUUGAUACAAAAGUGAAUUAGGCACCGCAAUAACCAAUUCAUAUGAACCCUGCCUAAGCACCCUGUUGCCAGCCUAAAAUUGCAUUGAUCUUUUGCUUAAUUGACUAUGCAUUGGCAACAAGAUUCUACGGAGUCAAAAGAACCAUUUGAUACAAGUAUAAGUUUGCCAUGUUUCCUGUUGCUUAGCAUAGGAUAUUAUUCAGGGUUAUAGUCAAACAUCUGUUGGGCUUCUUAAUACAUUUUUUUUCUCUAUUUAUAGCACCAUAGUCUCACUGCCGUUGACAUUUGACCCCAACACGACUCUGCCAUUGAUAAUUCUACACUACCAUUCCCUAUCUGCUUUCACGCAAAUGAAGUAGUGCACAUGAACAAAGGGACAAAUCAAGGCUUUGUAUUUUGCACGCCACAUUGGAAUCACACUAUCCCCAACAUAAUGCUAGUCCUUGGAUAGUUGGAUCCACACAAAACCUUCACCGCCUCCGUUCCGAACGUCCAAUUAAGGCAUUGAAAUUAGAGGUAAAUGACAGAAGAGUAAAAAUCACGACUACUACUGACCUUUUCACAACACGACAUCACACUGCCUUGGCGGCCCAUUGAAGGCUGCCUCGGUGGAAUUCUUCCCGCGGAAAACCACCUGCACGCCGUCGCACAUGACCCUCAUGACCCUCCGUCGCGUGCGCCAGCCCCCUCUGUCGAAGACCGCGACGGCCAUGAGCCUGACCUGGACCUCGACCGUGCCCCCUCCUCCACCCCCGCUCUUGAGCGGCGCUGCGUCGUCGGGCCCCACGUAGGCGUCGUCGACGACGAGGCGGAAGGCGAGCGUGGUGGUGUUGCCGGGCCCCUGGCUGAAUGGCGCGAGCGAGGCGACCGCGAUCGGGGAGGAGGGCGCGAAGGAGACUGACGCGAGGGGCGAGAAGUAGGUGACGGAGAGCUUGGCGUUGGGGUUGGCGGCGAGUAGCGCGGCGUCGAAGGAGGCGGAGAGGGAGGAGUUGGAGGGGGAGUAGGCGACGCGGGAGAGGGCGAGGGAGGUGAGGGAGAAGGCGGGGGCCCGCGGGCGGAGGAGCAGCCAGACGAUGAAGGUGGCGGCGCCGAGGAGGAGGAAGGCGCCGACGACGGCCGCGAGGAGGCGGCGCAAGCAGGUCGGCGGCGGCGGGUGGGGCGAGUAGUGGUGGUGGUGGGGCGGAGGGGGGUAGGGGUAGUGGUUGUGGUGGGGCGGCGGCGGGUGGUGGUUGUGGUUGUGGUGAGGGGGGGCGGGGUAGGGGUACGCGACGCCGAAGGCCGCGGUGCCGUUGGCGGCAGCGGAGGGAGGCGGCGCGGCGGCGAAGUAGGGGGCGGCGCUGGGGUUCCCGUUGCCGUUGGGGGAAGGGUUGGCGGGGUAGCCCAUGGCGGGGGCCGGGGGCGGGGGCUUGGAGCCGGGGUGGUCCGGCGGGUGCGCGGAGGAGGAGGAGGAGGGCUGCAUGCCGGAUUGCUGCUGGAUCCGGCGGGGGAGUGGCGCUGCGCUGGUCGGUGAGAGCUGGUGGUGCCUGGUGGUGGGGUUUGCUUUUGGUUUGGCGAGAGGGGGAGGGGGAGGUGAUGGUGAUUUGGGAUCUAACCCGAGUCCGUGAGACGUUGAUUUGUUCCUUGGCCGCAGCAGAUGCGCGCGCACGCGGCGGAUGAAUCCUGUUCCGUUCUAUCUUCACCGUAUUUUCCUCGUGGUUUAUCCCCCUCCGAUUCAUUUAAAUUAUGAACAAAAAUUCUAUCUUCCUCGUGGAUUGCACUGAUGAUGUAGAAAGUUGCAUUGGCGGUUGUGGGGAGAGUAGAUGGAGGACGGGGACGGCGAGGAUGGUCUAACAGCAACUUCAAGAGGUUGCUAAUCUUACCCCCAAUAUCCUUUUUAGGAAAAAAAGAGAGAAAACAUGAACUCCAACAAUUUAUCUAAACCUUUCCUAAUUUUUUAGCGACGCUAAAAAACAGCCUGCCACAGCGUAUAUUUUAGCAUUGGCGUUCCUCCCCCAAUCUUGAUUCUCGUACGCCCGCGCGUCCCUUCCGAUGGGCCCAAUACGAUGACAUGGCCUGUGUUUGAAAUAUUGGGGGCUAUUUAUUAGCGAUCUGCUAUGAACUGAUAUGUUUUUGGGGGAAAUUUGUUUUGGAAAAACCCCUAAUACAUAGUUUUGGGGAAGAAUUUUUUAGAUACUCUUGGAGUUGCUCUAAGGUUUAUUAAUCCCUCCAAAUUAACUGUCAAUUUCACAUUUACAGUGUUUUCAUAUUGAUCAGUGGUGGGUGACAUUGGACGCCAACAAUAAGACACAAAAAUUCAUAUUAAUUUGUGGAUAGAGGGAGUAGGAGUAAGAAUAUGGCCACACGAGCUAUCUGAGUUAUUCAUUUUUGAAUCAACGGUGAGAUGAAUCAUGGACAGGUGAGAAGUACAUGGGGUAGGUGGUAAAUCCACAGUUGGAUGGAGAAAAAUUAACACGGUUGAGAUAGGUCAUGUGGUCAUAUGUAUAUAUGGUUCUACAAUUUUUUGUAGGAGUAAGGAUGAAACGGUGGAUUACACGUAAAAUAAGAACAAGACUUCCCUUCUUUUAUGUGCAUAGACAACAACAUGGCGGACUCCGAUAAUAUUGUUAAGUUUACGAGGAUGUGGCUAUUGUUUUCCGAAGAAGAAAGGCGACAGGGCGGAGAAAAGUGUCCGAGUUAGGUGAUCGUCCAGAGACAGAUGAACACCCAUGUUACUCUUACAAAGGCAGAAACUGAUGGGAGAAGUUUCAGAUGUAUCAGUAAGAACUUCACUGUCAGUGCAUUUGGAACAUGGUUUAUGAAAUCGGCGACCAACAAAAUCUUGAGAUCGACGAUACAUCGUGAAAAGCGAUGUUCAACCCGUCUGUCAAGCUGCACUUCUGGACAAGAAUUGGGAGACGAAUCCUACGAGGGCUUUAGGGUGUAUAAUGAAAAGGGGAACACCGAAAUGGACCAUUAUUUAAAACGCAGCGUCAUAGUGGCUUUAACUGCGAAACCGUGUUAAGCUCAGCAAAGUCCCUGGUACCUGAUGCACGACGUCACUUGCUAUCUACAGAGAAAAGUAGCAUCAAACAACAAAACGUGUGUUUCCUACUUUAUUCUCCUUCGAGUAGGAACGCAAUUCGCAAAAGAGGAAGAGGAAAGCACUGUCCCCCCCUUUUUCCUGGAAAAUUUAGGUUUAUGCCAUUGCUUCAAUUCCAACUAUCAUCUAUAUAAGGCGUGUUUGAUUCUACCUUGCUAAACUUUAAAGUUUAGCAACUUUUAGCUGCUAAACUGCCAAACACCCUUGCUAAAACUUGCUAAAGUUUAGCACUUUAGCAAGUUUUUGGUUGCUAAAACUUAGAGCUCCUUUGGCAGGGCUCCUCGCGAGAGGCUCCUCGUGCGGAGCUAGAGCCGGAGCCGCGGAGCUACUUUUUUAGGCUCCGCCAUGCAGGCCUAAAACGGCUCCGGCUCCUCCCAAAUGUGCCAAAAAAUGGCUCCGCGGUUGAUGCCGUUUGGUGCGGCUCCGGCUCCUCCGUGCUUCGGUAAGCGCACGGAGCCGGAGCCCUGCCAAAUGAGCCCUUACUAAAAGGUAGGCUGGACAACCUGUACCUCUCAUUUAUUGCUUGUCUCCCACCUCCUGCGCAGCUUUAAUAAGGUUAGAUAGGUCUUUUUACAGCUCAUUAAAUGCCUUUUAGCAAGAGUAUCCAAACAGCUUGUGCUAAAGUUUAGCAACUAAAAUGUCGCAAAUUUUAGCUGCUAAACUUUAGCAAGAGUUGCCAAACAGGACCUAAGGCAACAGUAUCAUUGCAAAAGGGAGUUCUAUACUACGUAAAUUUAGGUUUGUGCCAGCUUCAAUUCCAACUAUCAUCAUCUUAGGCAACAGUUUCAUUGCAACAGAGUUAUAUACUCAUGGAACAUACUCUGCAGAAACAACAAAAGAUUAGUAUUCGUCUAUUCGAGCUGCUGAUUGUGAACCCACAGCGUACGUUUCUUUUUCCUUUUUAGGUCAACGACACGAUACGGUUGAGACCUCCAUCAGGAAAUGUCACCAACACUUUUUUUUUUCUUGUUCGCUUGCCGUGUCAGCCACCCAAAUGGUGAUAAAGAGAAUUAGCCUUGCUUUUCUGAAAAAAGAAAAUUAGGUAGUGCUCUGCAGAGCAAACGUUUAUGUCACUAUCUUAUACUUGGUGGUUGCUUCGAAAGAGAUCUCGGCAGGAGCUGUGCUGUAGAACUUACUGGUGUCUGGCUGUACUCGUGUUGUCUCUAUCCGUGCUCAGCGCUUUUGCUCCGCCCAUUGCUGUCCUUCGAAGAACUGGCCUAAAAGUUGGUCCACCGCUUCUGGGCUGUACCGAACGUACUUCUGCGGGUUCUUGUUGUUCUCCACCAGAUUACUGCAAGCCACAGGGUUGAUACAGUCAUAUCUUACUAGCACUUACAAGAUGUCGCAAAUUACUUGUAUAGGAAACAUUGUGUUAGUAGGGGAUCAACGAAAUGAUUUGAUGAUGUACCCAAAGCGUUUGAUAAAAGAUCUAUAGGCGGGCAACAGGACUUCGGCUACAGCAAGCCUCAAGGAUUCUCGCAGUUCUUGAUCAGGUACAAUCCACUGCGAUUGCUUUGCGUGAAGCUCCUCAAACUGCAUAUUGAAAGAUUUAAACCUGCCAAGGGGAAAAGGCACAGUGUUCGAGGAUAAUGAUCUUUAUUAUUGUGCAGAACAACUAAAAGCAAGAUGACGCCUCUAAGUGAUCACCGUUCUUUGAUCAUAGCUCUUGAAACUCCACUGCUGCUAAGGUCACCAGUGCUGCCUGCACCUUGGACGGAGAGUGUCUGAAGAAUCUAGAUAACAGAAGGAGAGUAGCUACUAUCAAAUGUAGUUCUACAUUUAUAUAAGCAAAGAAAACAUAACAAACAUGUUAACGAUGAAUCCACAAUUCCACAGAACUACAAAAGUGCGUAAAAACAUUAAGUCUCUGCCAUUCAGCAUUGCCACAAAUUUUACUAUACUAGAUUGACUUAAAAUAGUAUGUGUGUGCAUUAAGUUUCUUAACAGUGGGCGUACAAGAGUGAUUUCCAGACAUCACAAUUUUCUGAAUUGAAGAGUUAGACCAUACUUGAGAGAUCCAUGUUAUAACCUCAGCCUCAGCAUUAUAAAAAUUCUAACUGGCGUAAACAUAUCAUGUAUGAGGAGCGCUGCUAUACCCUCCUAUAUGAUUUAUGAUAGAUUCAACAGGUAUGCCUCCACAUUGUAUUCACAGAAAUGGAGUUCUAGCGCUUGAUAUUAAUAAAACAGCAAGCUGAUCAUGGCAGAUUCAUUCCCCGAGGAGGGCCAAAAGGAUUCGUACAUCUAACAUCAUGCGGCCAAACAAACAGUAUGUUAUGCACAAUCAUAUAAGAUUUUGCUGAUCCCCUAACCUUUGCCCAAGCAACACGUUUAUACUGAUUGGCAUUUUGCUGAACAAUCCUGCGAUGUCUCUGAAUCCAGUCAUCACCAAGUAUAUCUUUUGCUUCUGAUCUGAGGCAACACAAUGGAUCAUUGAAUAAACAAGUUAUCACAAUAAUAUGUGAUACAGAUCUUGUAAAUACAAACAUACCUGCGAACAGAUCUAACCAUAUAGUGGAUGUUGUUCAUAAGAAAUAAGUAAGUCAGUGCAGCAUCCUUAUACUGUUUAGAUUUUCCAUCCAGGUUAUUCUGUAGGGCCUGCAUUAUCCUUGUGGUAACAGCGGCAAGCUGAGAUUCUGCCUCAGUGCUAUUAUCAAAUUCCUGAAAUAGUAGCUUCAAUGUCGACUGAUAACUGUUCAAAUCAAAGUAACAUUUGUUAUGCAUGCUAUUUCAGAAACAAUAGCAGGUAAACAAUAAACAAAAAAAAGACAUUGCUUGAUGAGCAAGUGAACAAAGCAAUAUAUAACAACUAAUUCAUAACCAAAGACAUUCUAGAAUCUAGAAAAUGCCAAAGUUCAUUGAGAAGAGGCAGGAUCAUAAGAUGCUAUAAAUAACUUCGCAUAGGAAUGACAGCCUACAGGCAAAAUAACUUUCCUGAUUCAAAUGUCUGCAAAUUUUUUAUUUAGUGCUGUGGCACAAUUUUUUUUCCCAAAGGAACCUGCCUGCUAUAAUUGUUUGGAAAUCAUUUCUACCUUAUCUAAAACAAUGGUCUUUAUUUAUUUGUUCUCCUCAAUGGAGAUGGAGGUCAGAAUAAUUCUCAGAAGGUUAAGCAUAAAGCCCCACAAAUCACAGUUGACAUCAUGUUUUUAACAUUAUGUUAGUGAAAUUUAUGUGAUCAACAGUUCCACACAUCCAUGAAUUUAAUAGACCAUAUGAAAAGGGGAAUACUUACUCGAAUAGGAAUUUAACAUAAUUAAUCACAUAGCUAGUCAAAGGGUGUACUGUUCCAUCCUGAACAAUAGUUUUUGAAGCAUCUUUUUCAACUGCCUCCUCAAAAUCUGCAAAUGUUUCCUGAGCAGUCUGUGCCAAGCGCUUUGUUAAGCUUGAUGCAGCUUCUCGCAUCUCAGUGCAAGGUUUACCUUCAAAUAUUUCCUCAAUCUGGUAAAAACAAGGGUACAAACAAAGUAUUGACACUUUCUAAUUAUCAUUGAAAUCAAAUAGUUUAAAAUCACAACCACCAAAAAACUGCACAGCUAAUUAUUCAAACAGAAAAGUAUGUCAAACAUGGCCUCUAUAAAUGACUUCCAGCAUACCUCUGGUUGAAGUUCACGCAUUACUUCAUACAUGUCGAGCAAUACAAACAGCUUUUCAGGGGACCUUUUGCUUUUAGCAACAGCAUCUCCAAAGCUGAAAAGAGUUAUAACACUAUUUGCUGUCAGUUCAGCAAAACAAUGGCCCUUGUUAAAGUUGACACCAUCAAAAAUCUGAUCACAGAUUUUUCUUUCCCCUGCUAGUAGUAAUUUGACCUGUUUGAAAAGCAUAACAUCGUUAGCUUGAUGCUGAAAUGGACAUACAUAACAUGAGUACAUUUUAAGGAGGAUCCUCACAGCUAUUCGCAUGAAGUGUAUCCAGUUUCCAAUUUUAGCCUCCAGAGCCUCCCAUUGCAUUUUUUGUACAUCAUCUUUACUAAGCUUUUCCACGCCAAGUUUCCGAAGGCUCACUUCUAGUGCUGAAGCACGGGAAUCUCUGAAGGAAGAGGGGGGAAUAGAUUGAAUUGUAAAAAUCAAGUGUUAUAUCGAUAUAUGUGGACAGAAAGUGAGAUGGGGAAGGAGCAAGCUCAGGAUAGAUGUAAAACCAUAAUUAUAGAACAUCAAAACUACCUGUAGAUUUUGUAGCAAGACUGCUGAUUUCCAGCCUGAACCAACUGCUGAGCUAUGUCAUUCAUGAGAGGCAAUAUUCUGGGAGGAACCAGAGUUGGGGUCCGGUAUAUGGCAGUCUCCAAGCCUUUGGAUGGAUGAUCAGAGCGGCUCCCUCCAUCAGUCUCGUGGUCACCUUUUGUUGGCCGCAGAGACUUGGGGAGACAAUCAAACAGGCGAUCCGGCUCAAUAGGUUUGCUGGAAAAAAUGAUGUUCAACACAAUUUUUUAGAGAUAAGAAUAACUUCAGGCAUCAGUAUAACUAGAUGCAAACAGACAAAAGCUAACUGUUCUUUCACCAAUAUGCAGGGAAACAGUUGAUAAAUUGGCUGACGGUUCAGGAGUGGGCCUCUGCAUCAGUAGAUGCAUGCAGCCAUAAGUUGACAAUCUUACCUAUAUGUACUCAUCAGUUGUUUAAAUUCCUCCUCAAUCUUCAGAGUAGACUUAGCUAACAGAUUGUUGACAUGAUUCAGGACUACUUCACUGCUCUUGAAGUUCUUAUUUGAGGAAAAGAAGCGGACGAUGCCUUUCAGCACAUCCACUGCCUCCAGGUAGCUCUCCAAAUCCUCAUGGGGACCCCUCAAUAUCGUUGCCUCAGCCUAAAGCACGAAAGCAAAAAAAUCACACUAAGUGAAGAUGCCAAGAUUGUGGAAUUUGAAUUUGAAGCUGGACCAACAAAAAGCCAACAGCAGUAACUUGCAGGAUUAACAUUUCAAGAUGUUUUUCCUUUCAAAAUAGCAUCACAUUCAGAAGAAUACUAUAAUCAUGGUAACCUACUCUAAUCUCAUAAAUAGUAAACAUGCCACUGACCAAAUCCCCUAACCAGCAGAGUUUUAACGGAAGUAAAUAUCCUUCGAACUGAAAAGGCUAAUUUUGUAUCAAUGAUUCCUGCAUUGAACCCAAUUAACAGCGCAUACAGCUUACUCAUGUUAACCCAGACCAAUUAACUCCACACCCAAAUCCACCGCAAAAUUUGAUAAUUUAACAAGAAAUGGGGACCUGCCCUUUUGCACAUUCAAUCGCCCUCAGAUCCAAACAAUGCCACGAGAAAACAUAUCGAAUUCACCACGAUUUCAGGUACAGGGCUAGCAUUCUGACAGAGGGAGGAUCAGCCAACGCACCCGGCGCGCAAGGUCAAACUGCGAGAGGAUGCCGUCGGCGGCCUUGAUCGUCCUGUCGAUGUUCUCGUGCGCCGUCCGGAUCGCGUGCGUCCUCACCUGCAGCCCCACCAAACAGAAGGCUCAAAUUUCAUGGAACGAAGCUGCGGGGCGGAUGGAAUGGGCGAAUGGGACGGGGGCGCAGGUCGGACGUACCUGGGUGGGGCGCAUGGCGGCCUCGAGCGCGGAGAGGCGGUGGUCGAAGGAGCCGAGGAUGGCGACCAUGCCGUCCGUGUUCCCCUGGCUCCGCCGCAGCGAGUCCCGCAGCAUGGCCGCCCGCCGCGACAGCGCGUCCAUCGUCUGCGGCAGCGCCGCCACCGCCAUCCUCCCAGACCUCGCGCCCGCAGACGUUGGAAUAGCGCGAGCGAGCCCUCCUCUCGGGAAAGCCGGGGAGAUCUCGGGGCGCGGGAGAGGAUGAGAAUGCGCGGAGGGAGUUGGGUGGGGGGUGGGGGGGGUGGGGGGCGGACGCGUUCUCCUGUGGGGAGCGCGGGCUAGCGCUGCGUCGCGGUAGCGAGACGAUGAUUGGGCGGUGGCGGUGGCGGUGGCCGGCGGCGACGCGUGGUGUGCGUGUCGCCGUGGAGGGAGGGAGGAAGGGAGGGGAGAGGGAGCCGAAUCGGAAUUGUUCGAGCGCCUCCGGGAGAUUCGUGCGCGCGUGCUGACCGUUGAACACGCUGACGGCUCGGAUCGGAGGUGGCCCCGUCGGCGACCCGGCGCGGCCCCGACGUGCGUGGAUCCAAAUCCCAGGAAGAAGAGCGGCCGGUCGCCUCGUGAUUCGUUCCGUGCGGGAGCGGUGAAGGGCUGAAGACCGGGGGCGGAGGGGGAUGUACGGUCGGGAUGGGCUCGGUGCAUGGGGUGGGUGUAGGGGUGGAGCUAGUGUGGGUGUCGGGUUGCUCGAACGGGAGGGGGUGGGACCGGGGUGAUCGAGCGGCGUUGGCGGUGUGGACCGGGUCCACCGGCCCGCCUUAUCCGGUUCUGGAUAUUGGGAGGCUCUUUUUGAACAGAGCACCUUCGUGAUUCGAACAUUGUUUGUAUACUGGUGUUGUCUAAUGAGCAAUCUCAUGUAUGAUACGUAAUUUUGAGACAGACUUAUAAACAACCAGUACCAUGGUUAUCUUUUUAAGUUGUCUCAUGGUAAUUCUAUUCCUUAAUUUGUGCAUAGAAAAAAAAAGAAAUAUCAUAAAUUGCAUGCAACCACAACUCGUAUAAUGGUGGAGUAGUCAUCUCAUAGUUCUAAAAUUUAGCCUAUGAGGUGGUUGUUUCGCGAAACAACAUCUUUCUCUCCUCCCUCUCUCUCCUCCGUAUCAGCAAAAAUCUUACGUGAUAUUGCAUGAGACGACCUAUAAGAUUGCUGAGGUGUAGCAAUGUAUCUCAGUGAUCCUGGAAUGGAGGGCUAGGGUGGCAACAAGGAACAUGGACUUCACCGUGUACCGGUGUAUCACUACCGAGCAACGUGUUAGAUUUGCUUUUAUUAUAGAUUCGUGAAAGGUAAAAACCUUUUCCCUUAUAAAAAGGGUUCGAUUGAUCUGAAAAUCUCCUAUAUCAAUCCUCUGAUCCAUGUAUCCACCACCAAAAGUCAUGGCAAGAGUCUAUGGUAUGACCCCUAACAAUUAGGUCUAAAAGUGCAAUGAUCUCAGUUGCGUUGGAGCUAAAAUGGUGAUCAUGUCAUGACUAGGCAUGAAUAGUAUCUUCAUUUAUAGAGCUUAAAAAUGUAGCUUUGGUUAGCUGGCAAGUUUCGCUUGGUAGUAUCCUAACUUUUGAUCUCUUUUCCAACAGCGGGAGGCACUUUUUUUUGGGGUUCCGGACGCAGCAAGGCAGCUCGAAGCGUCACGAUCGCAGCUGCACGAGCGAAAACGUGCCAACAAGGAUCCAAUAAGAACCGUGAAGAAAAAGAGCGAGAAAAUUAAAGUACUUAGCGUCCCUGAUAUUUACGUAUUCAUCACGUUUGAUUUUAUCCAAUUUUAACAUAAUUCACAGAAAAAUACGAUAAUAUCUACACUAUUAAAUACUAAUACCUAUGGUGCAUUAAAAGAGACAAAUUUGAUACCAGAGGACUAUAGGCUGUGAUGCUUUUUCUGAAAGUUUGAGUAGGAUUAGAUAAGUUUGAUUUACAAAAAAACUAAAAAUAAACUAUAAUUUCAACUGAAGGUUAUAAAUUGAAAUAAAUAUAAUUUAGAAUGGAGGGAGAAGUCGGCUCGAUGCACCCCUAGUGAAGUGAUAGAGACUGCACCUGAAACGCGACAGGGAACUGCGUGGGUUGGACGAACAGCAACCGCACAAAUUUUAAAAUACGUACGGUUAUCCCCUCGCAGUGUGAUUAGCUGACGACGAUAAUCUAGCUUAAGCGGGCCUAGCUAUGUUAUUUUUUUCUUCCCUAAAGAGCUUAACCCUACAUAUUCUAUGCACGAGAUGAGAGGUGGUGCCUCAGGAAUCUCGCGUGCAUGCUCACCGGAAGAUUUUUUUUGUCUGACAAAGCACCUGCCCUACCUUCCUCAACUCGGUACUUCGCAUUUUUUUUCUUGAAAAGUGGCACUUCGUGUAUUGCAGAUACAUCAGUUGAUCACAGUCUACUUUUGUAGACUGCUAAUUCUACAAAGGCAGACGUAGAAAUAGUUGUAAAACUAGUAGCUAAUGAUAGCCGCCAAAAUUUUAAAACUUUUGUUUGCCAAACUUGAAAACUUGACAGUUUUUUGUGUAUAAACAGAAGUACUAGUACUCACUAACAACGACCACGCAGCUUAGCAAAGAACAAUUCCUCCAUUUCAACAUGCAACUAUGCAAUGUAGCUAGAAAAAGCACGACGACGAUUCUACCGUUGACAAAAGUGGAAAAAAAAUGAAAACUCACUCGUGCCUUGUUCCAGCGCACGACGUGGUGCGUGCCGGAGAUAGAUCGAUCGGGCAUUGGUGAUGAUUAUCUUAACCUUCUCCACUUGGCCUCCGCCACUUUUUUUCCGCUGCCGGUGGGCCCACUUACAUCCAGCCCGCUGCCCCCCAGCGAAUUAAGCGUGGACAAGCUUGCAUCGCAGCCACGAAACGAGGCCCCCACUAUUUUCUUUCUUCUUCUGUUCCCCCCCGGACGGAACGAGAGGCCAGGAGCGGCCGCCAAAUAUCUACCCCCCAGCGGCCACCAGCGCCAGCAGAGCGAAUCACCCCUCGCCUUAACAAGAAAAAAAUCGCGCACCAAAAUAUCUCUCCGAUUAAAUUCACCGGAGCGCGGCGGAGAGGAGAAAAAAAUAUCCCCCGCCCGCCCGCCCGCUCUUCCUCGUGCUCUGCUGCUGGUGGUCGUAUUUGUUGCUGGGCCAUUUCCUCCCCACGCCUUCCUCUCUUCUCUUCUCUUCUCUUCCCUUCCCUCUUGGCGAUGAUCUCCCCGCCUCGCCGCUGACGUGGCGCCCACCGCGCGGGGGAAAAAAAAAUUGGAGAUAUUUUCCCCACCGCUCCUUCUCCCCUCCCUCCUCGGCUCCCUUCCUCCUGCUGCUGCUGCUGCUGCCUCUUCUCCUCCUCUCACCAAUCGGAUGUCUCCCGACGCCGACGCCGACGCCGCCGGUGGGGCUGGUGCCGGCCGAGGGGGCGGAGGAGGAGGGAGAGCGGAUGGCGGCGCGUCGUCGUCCCCCGCGGCGGCGGCGAACGGGCGGGCGGUGGUGCGGUGGGACCAGAUCCUCCCGCGCCGCUCCCUUCAGGUCCUCCUCGUCGAGCACGACGACUGCACGCGCCAGGUCGUCACCGCGCUCCUCCGCAAGUGCGGAUACCGCGGUGAGCCCUUUGUUUUCCUUCCUCCUCCUUCCCCCCCCCCCCCCCCCCCCCCCCCCCCCUCCCCGCGCCGCCUGCUUAGCAACCAGCCUGCCGCUGCCGGCUUAAUCUGAACUCUGAAGAGAAAUCAAAGCUCGAUUCUGAUGUCUCUCACCCUCGCUCUCUCCGGGAGACCCGCAGUGGCCGCCGUCGCGGACGGGAUGAAGGCGUGGGAGGUGAUGCGGGGGCGCGCCUACGCCUUCGACCUCGUGCUCACCGAGGUCGCCAUGCCCACGCUCUCCGGCAUCCAGCUGCUCGCCAGGAUCGUCGCCGCGGACGAGUGCAAGAACAUCCCCGUCAUCAGUAAGCUCCCAAUCCACCCCCCCCCCCCCCCCCCCCCCCCAAUCGACAUGAUGUUUCCUCCGACUCUCCCCGCGUGGCCUCAUUCGUGCUGUUGUGGAUCGAAUCCUGCUUGGGAAAUGGAUUAGGCUUCGCUAGUGGCUAAAGCGGUUACUUCAAGCAAGGGGCUCGGUGUCAGACAUAAUUUUAUGCUUACCGCUCAGUGCUGCUUGGAUUUUAUAUUACGCCCUGCACAUGCUUGUUACCAAAACGGGGUGAUUGGAUCAGGCUUGUUUUGGUAUGAGCAACUUUAACGUUGCUGUACCGGCAUGGUUAGAUUCCCUUCAUGAUGUUCCCCUUGUGCUGUAAGCCAAGUACUGCAUUUCUUAUAGCCUCUGUGGAUAUCGUUCAAGGAUCAACAUGACAAUAAAGUUUUAGGAAUAUAAGAGUGGUGGUAUUUUGUUCACAGGGUUUCUGCGGCAAUUGUAGUUCUGUUCUGCAGAAUUUGAUUUCGUGUAUGCGAUCGAAGGCAAAGUUUUCAAUACAGGUGAUUUUGAGUGGUACAUAGACUGUUUUAGGGUCUAAUCACAUGGUUUCACUGGGAAAUUAUCCCAUUUCAUCAGGUGCUUGUCAAUAAAACUCCACAUAAAGAAGGCCUUGGCUUCUCCAAAACUGAGGUAGUGGUAGUCCUGAAAAAUCAAAAUAGUAAAUUUUAAAUUGCAGUGUUCUAGGUAGCCGUUGGAACCAAGAGACCAAUACCGAUACUGUUACGUACUCAUUUGAAAGCUACUGGAUCUAUACUAAAUAUAGGGGAUGUUUUCAUUAAGUCUGCAAAACAACAAAAAGGCUUUACUAAAAUAGAACACUACUUGCCCCAAAGAACAAAAAAGCUACACAACACGUGAUUGGUGUAUUUAUGGAAAUGCAACCGUGAUUUUAACAUUGUUUUCCUAAUCACCUAAUUUGACCCCAUGAUCAGCUGAUUGGCCUAGUAGAGUGAUGGGCAUAUAUCCGGCACUUAAAGUUAUAAUGGCACAUAUGCCUGAUAAGCUGCCUUGACUUGGAGCACUGAUGAAUCGGAUAUUUGGAUUUGUUAUGGGGUUUCAUGGUUUUUUGACUGGUUGGCUGUGGCAGUGAUGUCGUCACAAGAUUCUAUUGGCACGGUGCUCAAGUGCAUGCACAAGGGGGCGGUGGACUUCCUUGUAAAACCAGUGAGAAAGAAUGAGCUGCGUAACCUAUGGCAACAUGUAUGGAGGCGGCAUGCAGUAAGUUCUCUUUUUGAAGACCUUUAAGAAUGUGCUUUCCUUUGCCACUGGCAAAUUUUGUGUUGCAGCAAAAUGCAGCCUUCACCAAAUGCUUCUUUUGAUUUGUAUUUCUCAACCUAUCUGGAUGUAGUUUGGGCCCCUUUUUCUUGAAACACAAUGAAAGUUAUAGAAGUAGUAUCAAUUAUCUAUUAUGCUAUGCAUAAGUUAACUGAUACUACUUCUAUAAUGUUCACUGUAUGCCUCUUUCUUGAAUUCUUAUAGCAGUAUUGUAUAAUAUGCAUCAAUUAUGAGAUCCUAGGUGAUAUUUCGCAUGCGAUCAUUUUAGCCUGUAUCAGUUAUCUAUUAUGCAUUACAUUUUACUUUAGAAUACUUAGACCUACGACUUCAAUGCAGAUGAAUAGCCAAACAAAUGGAUCGGAGAAUAAUGCAGCCAGCAAUCAUAUAAGUGCCAAUGUUGCUAAUGGUUCAAAGGCAGGAGAAAACAGCGACGAGGAAAGUGAUGCCCAAGUGAGUAUCUGACAUUGCUUUGGCGUUAUCUGACCAACUGGUAUUAAUGUAUGUUUUCAAUUGCUUAUAUGCAUCCCUGCUUAGCUGGACAAUGCUACUAGAACAAAAACAAAGAGUUUAACAGUAAAGUAUUUAAAGACAUGUCUUUUUCUAUGAUAGUUCUUUUCUUGACUUUAUCCAGUGUGUGUACCCAGCACUGUUUACUGAAACCAAUUAGGGUUCAUCAUGUGGUCCUCUAUGCAGUUCUGAUAUAUCAUUUACAUUCAUAUGUAUUUCCUUGCCAUGUUACAUUAUGGUUAUUUUCCCUUGAUCAGAGCUUUGGUAGCAAGAGGGAGACUGAAAUUCAGAGUGUUGAGAAGUUACCAGAUAUCCGUGCGGAUGAAGGGGCUGGCCCUUCCAGAAAAAUUAAACUACAAAAUGAGUCUUAUGAUGGAGUAAACACAAAGUUGCAUGCGUCAAAAGAUAGCGAUGGUAAGGAGUUUGAACAUGAUUACGUAAUGUUUCGUUAACACAUGCUCUAUUAUCGGCAAGUUAAUGUCUACCACUCUGUUGUGCACAUGUAAUAGUAAUUUCAUCUCAUGCAGAUGCCCCAAGUGGAAGUGAGAAGAAUGUGCGUUCCAAAGGCCUUAAUGGUAUUACUUCAGCCAAGGUUGCUGAGCAAAUAAUGGAUAAUGCCUUGAGGAUUGCUGAUGCAAGUUCACGUCGACCAAGCAAUCUUGGCAAAGACUUUGCUAUGGCCCAACCAACAGCUGACGUACAAUGCAAAUCUUCAGUUAUGGAAAGUAAUGCUGUCACAGAGAAUAACCUUGGUGAAAAAUCGAAGGGUGCUGCAAUAAGUCAUGCUAAAUCUUGCCCCUCCCAAUUUCUGGAGACCAACUUAGGAAAGCAACACCAUCUUAAUGGUUACAAAAUCCAAGAGUUCAGGGAAAAAGAUAUCUUUAAUCACUCGAAUUCUUCUGCCUUUUCAAGGUACUUCAUGCUGAUUAACUUCUGAUAUCUAAGUUAUUUGAAUGCAACUAAAAAGUUUUCUGUUAAUCAAUGGUUUUUUGUUAAUCAAUGGUUUUCUUUCCAUGUUUGUUUGUUUCUUUGUGAUGUUACAUGUUUUGGUACUUCUAGAUCUAUAGGCUGAUGUUAGUAGUUGCUCAAAUAUGUUGCAUAACUCUGAUUUGCUUUAUUUUGCUUGCUUGUCGCUUCGACAUGAUACAGAUAUGGCAAUAAAAGGAUAGAGCCCUCAGCUGAGCACCAGUUUUCCCCUUCUCUCUGCAUAACUCAUCAAGAACCUGUUCAUGACAAGGACCCAGUUUCCCAACCCAGUGGGGUGUUGCCUCCCCAUGAACAUAAUACAGGUGAGAGUACAAGGCAAGCUCGGAUUCCCUUGGACAGCAGCACAGAGGGAGCUGCUGUACUGUGUUCCAGUAGUGCUAGAGAAGAUGCAGGCACAAGCAGUUCCUCCCAUAGACAGGACAGUAUGAGCCAUCCUUCAUAUGGGUUUAUACCUCUUCCAAUUCCUGUUGGUGCUGCGAUGCCCUACCAUUACGGUGCAAUUCUGCAGCCAGUAUACUACUCACAGGCUCCUCAUAUGCAUUGUGAUUCAGCUGGGAUCAACAAGGCAGCUAUUCAGCACGCCUCUGGUCAGUCGAAUUACCAUGAAAAUCCUAGUAAACCGUCUCAGGUUGAUGAACACAAACAGUCAGAGGAGAAUCAGCAGUUGCAUCAUUCAAGACAAAUUCUCAGAGAAUCAGAACCAAUUGACUUGACGAGAGGUCAUUUGGAGCACAUCAACCAGAGCGCUAGCUGCAGCCAGGAUAUCCGUAAAGGAAGUGGAUGCACCGGUAGUGGUGAAACUGACAUCCAUACAAAUACUGGGGUUGCCCUAGAAAGUGGCAACGAAAGUGGUAUCCAGAACUGCUGUAACAAUGGGUUGGAUAGUGACCGGUCUCGCCGUGAAGCUGCCUUGAUGAAGUUUCGCUUGAAAAGAAAAGAUAGAUGCUUUGAGAAAAAGGUAUUUAUUUUAUAACAUUUUCAGUUAGUAAAUGACGAUGGAAUGCUUUCUUUAUCUGACUAUGCCUUCCGUUUUUUCAUUUCUAUAGGUUAGAUAUCAUAGCAGGAAAAAGCUUGCAGAGCAAAGACCGAGAGUUAAGGGGCAGUUUGUGAGCCAAAAGCUGAAAUCAGCUACAACAGGGGAUGCAGAAACUGACUUUGAUUCGUAACUGUAAUUUUGAUUCUUCCCUUCCCAUCCCAGGUGAGGGCAAUUGAAACGGUACAGAGUUGAAGGCUGGCAAAAGUUUUCCUUCCCAUGGUUAGCCUGUGUGUACACUCUCUAGUCGGUUGUUUAUUGGCAUUCAAGCCAUAUUUUGUAAAGGACAAAUUGACAAAUGUUCAGUGAAAUAGGCGUGAAUACCCCAGAUUUUGUUUAUGUACUCUAGAUGUUUGUGGAGUGAGGAAGUAGUCUCUGUACAGCUUAUUCACUCAUUUUGUUACCGGUACAAUACAAAAGUAGUAACUUGUAAUUACUACUUCUACAACAACAGACACUGCUGUACAACUUAGAACAGCCUUACAGUUAGCAUGACUUGCUUUCCGUUAAUAGGUCAUUUGGUUGAUUCUGUGACUAAUUAUCUUGAUAAGAGACUACUCUAUGCAGGACAGUUGAGAUUUGUUUGAUCCAGCAUUUCAGGACAGUUGAGAUUACUUUGAUUCAAGCAUUUUGCUUGCAUGUAAACUGAACCAGCAGCCCUUGUCUUUUGUCAUCUGACGCGAGUCGAGCUGCUAGCUUCAAGCCUUGAACCAUCCAUUAGCAUAUAUCCUUUGCCUGGCUUGCACUCUAGAAAGCAUCAACGCAUCAUCAUGCACCUGCAAACCUUUGGACAUCUUUUCCUAGUACUUUCUAUGCCGUCAUUUAGCCUAACACCUCGUGUACAUGAAAGAUAAUUAGCCUGCCGAUUUGUUGAGGUUAAUCCGUGUGCUGUAGUAAGAGGAAUCCUCAAUUCCUUGCUGCCAAUUCAGGAGCAUCUCCCUUUACAGCCAUCAUUUCUCAUCUCAGCCCAAAUUCAUAUAUUCUGUUGGAGCUUGCAGCUCAAGUUUGGCACAUUUCCUUUGCCGCGCUGGGCCUCCGGCCGGCUCCAGGCUCCACCCUAUAAACCGCCCGGUCCACAAGAGCUCGCGGGAAUCUCACCCACCUGUGAAAGCGAGCACACGCAAACGCAACUACGCAAGCAAGCGCAUCAGUGUCCUGCGAUUUCUGUCGAUCGAGCUACGCGAAGCCGGCAAUGGAGGGAAGGCCGGCCAUGCUGGUGUGGGCGGUGGCGGCGUUCCUGCUGGUGGCGUGCGCGGCCGUCGUCGCCGGCGAUGACCAGCAGGGCGAUCCGGCGGCGGGGGCCCCGCCGGACACGAACCAGCUGUGCGUCAGCAAGUGUGGGACGUGCCCGACGGUGUGCACGUCGGCGCCGCCGACGAUCAUGCCGAUGACCGCGCCCCCGCCGCCGUCGCUGGCGCUGCUGCCGCUGUCCGCGCCGCCCCCGCCGCCGUACCUGGAGCUGGUGCUGCCGCCGCCGCCGCCGGGGGACGUGUCCGACGUGCUGCCUCCGCUCACGCCAUUGACGAGCCCGCCGGAGUCCCCGUGCUCGACACCGCCUUCGGAGCCUCCUCCGUCCUCGUCGUCGGAGCCUCCACCGUCACCACCGCCGCACAAGAGCAGCGGCGACGGUGGCAGCGGCGGGUCCUCCUCCUCCUCCUCCUCGUCGUCGUCUCCCCCGUCAGCCUCGCACUUCUCGUCGCCGCCGUCCCCGCCGUCGUCCUCCAACCCGUACUACUACCUGUACCUCUCCGGCGGCGCCAAGGCCCGCGGCGGCGUUCCGAGCGCUUGCACGGCGCUGGUCCUCGCCGCGCUCCUACCCCUCGCCGCCUUGAUCAAGUGACUGGAGACACGCUGUUACUAGCAAUCGUUCAGCUGCUCAGGCCGGCGUUAAGACUAGGCCAUGGCAUUACGCGCGCUUCUUUUUCUUCCUCCGUUUUGGGCUUUUGGCAUCCGAUUCGAUGAUGAUCUGCGGGCCUUCGCGGUGUCAGAUGCUUGCAUGCAGAUAGUAGUAUAGCUGUGCUUACAGUUUGUUGAUUGUAUUAACGUUGCUGUACGUAUACCUUAAUUAAUUUGUAAAGUGAACUCUAAUGAUGUCCAGUGAGUUUUCCCUUUGGCUUCGACGUGUUGCAUGUUGAUGGCUAAUGGCUUUAUGCCGGUGCAUGUGGGAAACUACUGUCACUUCAAUUUCUUCCUCUCAAAAAACUACUAUAACUUUCUUUCUUUCUUUCUUUUUUUUUAACGCUCACCCGACACCAACCUGUGUCUUUCCCGAAUUAAACUGGGUAGUGCGCAGCCCCAUCCUUGAUGUAAAUUGCUGAUUUUAUUCUCGUGAAUUGGCAACCUUGUUCAAAACCAAAUGCGUACCAUGUUACUACUAUAUUCACCAACCGAAGUGUAAUUGAUAAGCUUACUUAGCAAUUUUCUGGCCAGCAGUAUUUAGCACUCCUAUUUUUGGGCAGCUCGUUUUAGUAAUUUCCUUGCCAAUUAGCACAUUGACAGGUGGGUCCAUCUCCUGACAAUUGAAAGCACCAGAAAAAAGAUCCCCGAUACGAAGCGCAGUCUUGAGCUCCCGCCAAAUCGAUCUCCUCCGUCCAUAUAUACCAACGCCGAAGCAGGAGAGGAGCAUCGAUCCAUCUCGAUCGAUCACCGACGAUCGAGUUCGUUCGUCGUCGCGUGCGCAAGCACCUGAUCUCCUUUGUGCAAGUGCAACUAGGGACCGAAUCCGGCCGUCAACGACCACCAUGCUGCGGUCCACCGGCGACCGCGUCGUCAUCGUUGGCGGCGGCAUCGCCGGCGCCCUCCUCGCCAAGACGCUACAGAACCACGCCGACGUCGUCCUCAUCGACCCGUGAGCACGCACGCGCCAUUAUUGGAGCAUUCUUCUCUAAUUAAGAAAGCAUGGAUAAUGGAUUCCUCGAUCGUGUUCUUGAAUAAUCGAUCCAUGGCGGACGCAUGCAUUUGCAUUGCAUGCAGGAAGGAGUACUUCGAGAUCCCGUGGGCGAACCUGCGCGCCAAGGUGGACCCGGCGGCCGUGGAGCGCACCGUGAUCCCGCACGCUGACUACCUGACGCACGCCAAGGUCGUGACCGCCUUCGCCGUCGGCAUCGACGACUCCGUCGUACUCACCUCCAUCGGCCGUGCCGUGGCCUACGACUUCCUCGUCGUGGCCACGGGCCGCACCUGCAACCGGCCGCAGAAGCAGUCGGAGCGGCUGGAGAUGUUCCAUCGCGACCGGGAGCGGAUCGACGCCGCCGAGUCGGUGCUGAUCGUCGGCGGCGGGCCCAUCGGCGUGGAGCUGGCGGCGGAGAUCGUGAUGAAGAGCCCCGAGAAGCGCGUGACCCUCGUCCACGGCGGGCCCCGGCUGCUCAAGGUGAUGGGCGCCCGCGCGUCGGCCAAGGCGCUCGAGUGGCUACGGUCCAAGCACGUGACCGUGCUCCUGGACCAGACGGUCGACCUCGCCGGCACCACGCCGGACACGCGGGAGUUCACGACGUCCGCCAGCGAGACGGUGACCGCCGACUGCCACUUCGUGUGCACCGGCCGGCCCGUGGCGUCCGGGUGGCUGAGGGAGUCGUUCCUCAGGGACCACCUCGACGAGGAGGGCCACCUCAAGGUGGACGACCACCUCCGCGUCGGCGGGCUCAAGAACGUGUUCGCCGUCGGCGACAUCACCGACGUGCCUGAGGCGAAGCAGGGCCACCUGGCGCAGCGGCAGGCGAUGGUGGUGUCGCGGAACCUGCGGCUGCUGGUGAAGGGGGCGUGCAGGGACGAGAAGCUGCACCGGUACAAGCCGUGCCCCAGGGCCAACAUCACCGUCACGCUGGGCCGCCGCGACGCGCUGGCGGAGCUGCCCUUCAUGACGCUCAUCGGACACAUCCCCGGCGCCGUCAAGCCGAGGGACCUCUUCAUCACCAGGACGCGGAGGAUGAUGGGGCUCAAGAGCAAACCCUACGGCACCAUGCCGCGCGUCAUGUGAUGAUCGUGCGAAGACGGCGGAUGUAUAUGAUCCGCCGGCCCGGAGGACCGGCCGAGCCUCCCGUCCGGCGAGUGAGGCACCGAGAGCAGAUGGAGACUAGCUCAUCUCUGAAUUUUGCCACGACAAAGCUGACGAUGUACGCUUGGCGUUGUCACGUGCAUCCUUGUAUGGAUCACAUAUAUGGAAACAGGUACAAAUUGCUCGCUCAACUAGCAUUCUCCAUUGGAACUUGCUUUGGUGGUUCAUGGGUAGAUCUAAUCCACGAGCGCCGUGAAGUUGCGGAAGCCAUUGACCAGAAUAGCAACAACAUGAAGAUCCUCUCCACCUCUAAGGGCAAGUUCCCAAUAGUUUACUUGUCUAUUACAUUUGCCACAUCAUUUAACAGACACUCUGAAAGAAAACCUAGUUGACAAGUUUCUCUAAUGAGAAUAUGAGAUGCCUCCACGUGUAGAAGCUAGUAUUCUAUUGGGAUUAGCCUUAGGGCCCGUUUAGAAGCUUAUUCUAGCUUUGGCUUCACUUGUUUUGCGUAAAACAAGACACUGUGGUAUGAAUUCACUUUGCAAAAUGAGAUAAAAAUUAACUAGAAGUUGAGCGAAUCUAGUUUUUUUUUUGCCUUCCCCGGCUUUGGUUCCACCGGAGAGACCCUUAAAAGGAGCCCCACCCAAACGGCCCCUUAAUAUAUUGAUGUGGCACAUAGAGUAGAAGGCGCUCUUGCGGUGGAGUGAUGGACCGAAGAGUCUAUUAGUUGUGAAAUUCACAAACCAAGACUCAUAACCAAUUGACAACUAUGGUGCAGCCUCAUUUGGAUAUGCAGUGACAUAUACAUAUCUGUCAGCGCCAAGGGAACGGGAGUCCCCCGAGAAGGCGCUUACAAGUAGGGCCUGCCUGGAGAAAAGGGUUUUCCUCCUCAUGAAGCCCAAAUAAGGAGGUGGGCCAAGAAAUCCGAGGUCCUAGAAAGACAAGAGAAAUAUCGCACCUAUAUGGUGGGACCCAUGGAGGGCCCACACAGCGUGAGCAGGAUACACCUAGAGACCCCCCGGAAGGCCCCCAAGAAGGCUCACUUCGAGGUGAAGCAAACUGUGGCGUAUCCAAGCAUGAGACGUCACGACAGUUGAGGCAGGCUAUCAUCAGGCGUCCGUCCCCUUAAAAACAUCAUCAUUACGGUUAAUGGGAUGUGCCUGAGCGCCUCGGGGACUGACCGGCUCACUCGUCCUGUCCAACAGGCAGCGGGCGCCGCCCUUAUGUUAAGAGCGUUUGCCUGGCUCUCGGGUGCCCUCUGCCAGUGGGGUAGGCCCACACCGUGGCCCCGGGAAGCGGCAAAGGCCUCCCAGGAAGAAUCUCGAGAGCCAGAUUCAAUGUCCCCUACCCUAGGAUGGUGGGUCCGGAUUGAGAAGAGCAAUGAUUACCAGGGUAAAAUAGUAAAUGACCAGAUUGAUGUACAAAGGACUUGGUCAGGAUGCCCUAGCGCUGCGCGUGCCAAGGCGAGGAGCAUCAGGGAAGUGGACGGCAUGUCGGGAGAAACUGUAUCAAGGAGGGUAGCCAUUGGGCUGCCGCAUUCACACAUAAAGUAGAGGAAGGAUUGGAGCGCAAGGCUUGCCUUGGUGAGCUCUCCCAUUGGCCUGGCCUAUAAAAGGUCGGGGUUUGUACAAAAAGAACAAGGCAAUUUGUGCAUCUGGUGAGAGCUCAAAUUUGUGCAGACGUCCAGGAACACAGACGCGAGAUAUCCAUGAACCCUUUCUCUCCUCUCUUUUUCCAUAUGGUGAUUUGUGCUGUGACACUGAGCUAUUAAAUCUCGCUGGCUCUUCUCCUUGACGUGCACUGAGAAGGGGGGUGAGCAGUAUCUCCAAGCCGUUACCGUCAGGAAGCCUGCACGAGGGUGUAAAUAAGGAUUCUGGGCAGCGCAACUGCGCAACCGAUCGAUUGCGCAACCGCUCGAAUCGAUCGACUACGUUCUGCGUUGCCUCUUCUACGAUCUGCACUGCAUCGAGCAACCCUGCAUCCGAGUCUACAUGAGGACGGAGCGCUUGAUCUGUAAGUCCAUGGAUUGGAUCUAUUACAGUUUAAAUUGCACCAUGUGCAGGAAGGUUAUGUACUUAGAAGUUUUGGUUACAUCUGUUUUGCUUAUGCUGUUUUUACACACCGUUUACAUAAGUAUGUUGCAGGUUACGCAUGUCUGUUUAAAUAUAGAAUUUUGUUACAUAACAGUAACAAUGAGUUACGUAAUAUGGCUCAUAUUUAUAUCUGGUAGAUUUAAACGUAUAUUUCCAACAGUUGGGACCUGACAGGUCACAAGAUCUAUCCUUCUACCAAAGAAGGAGCCCUGAACAACAAUGGAUGAAUGGAGUGGGUUUUGGUCUGUCGCAACCGAGAAAUCCGACGAUUUUGAGGUUGCAACUACAUGCUCAUCAGAAGUUCAGAACAAGGUUGCAUGCGACCAUCUAGCAGUGCGCCAAAAGCUUCAGGUUUAGCCACUGGUGGCGGCUCAGCUGCAAGGUAGGCCCAAACGAAGGGUGCAAAUAGUUCAGACAUUAGGUAAGCUCAAUUAAUUAAUAUCUUUUGACUAUCCUACAAAUUAACUGCCAUAAGAUAAUAUUUUCUGAGUUGUGCUGUUCUUAAUUACAUCAGAGAUGUAAAUCCUGCGAAAAAGACAUCACUUUUACAAAAAAAAAGUUGAAUGGAGCGUCACACCAAUGCUAAUAAUGAAGAGUGGAGUUGAAGCAAGGAGAACUCCCAAUGGUAAAGUUGAUUUUCUUUUGACGAACUUCACCUUGGCCAGGGAUAGAUAAGCACGUUGGUCGUAUUGUGUGAUGCAUUGAUAUUGUUAGAUGAAUACGUCAGCCCUCUUGAAUGCUUGCUGGAUCUUUAUCUCUAUGUAGUACUUAACAUUGUAAAUCAUUCUUCCUUCAUUUUGUUGUACUCCCUCCUUUCAAAUUGCAAGUUAUUUCAGUUUUUUAGUUCAUAGAUAUUUGUAUGCAUCUAGACAUACACUAAUUUGGGACCUAGAAAGCCGAAACGAUCUACAAUUUGGGACGGAGGGAGUAGCACAGAUCGAGAGGCCAAAGCCUUGAGGAUUGAAAGAGGUGACAACCAAAAGGAAUUGUUAUUUUCCAGUUAGCUGCCACCGUCCGGGCCCCCUCUUCCCCACCCUCGUGCCCUCACCGCCGCCCGAGCGCGCCAGCGGAAGCCCGUGCGGGCCCGAUGAAGGCGGCGGCAGGGCUCUUCUCUUCGCCCAAGAUGCCGCCCCCCAUUCCUAUGGCGGCGGUGGCCUACGAUGGCGUUGUAGAUCCAGAUCUGCCUCGAUUGUCUCCAGCAUUGGCAGUCCUCGCGUUGCGUCCCUCGCAUGCCCCGUGGUGCCCUCAGGGGGCGGCUCUGGUGGAACCCAAGCCGUCGCUGGCCGGGGCCCCUCUCCCCCACCCUUGUGCCCUCACCGCCGCCUGAGAGCACCAGCGAAACGGGCACGAUGAAGGCGACGGUAGGGCUCUUCUCUCCGCCCGAGAGGCCAUCCCAUCCCAUGGCGGCGGCAGCGGUGGCCGGCCAUGGCACCGUAGAUCUGGCUCUGCCUUGGCCGCCUCCAGUGUCCCCGCGAGCAGAUCUAUCCGACCGUGGUCAUUGGUGUUCUGGAGGACGGCGGUGGUUUACUAGCAUCGGGGGUGGUGGUGUCAGUCGGAUUUGGGCGCCAUGGCUGCUGGUCAGCUUCAUCCUAUGGCAGUGACACUUCCUCACCCUUCUCCGAGCAGUUCUCUUGCUUAUGGUGGACCUCGUGCUUGGGCUCGUCGUCUCCGCCCUAGCGGCUGGAUCCUCACAAGAGGCCAGCGCUCCUCUAGCCCUGGCCUCCUGUCGGCGAGUGAGGGGCAACAGUUGGCAGCCUUUGCAUCUUCGAUGCCUCUUGGUGGUGUAAGCUCCACUAUGCGGGGCUGCCCAACAGAUUUGGCCACAAGAACGUCAUAGCUUUCUUGUUGGGGUGAUGAUGUGGUCGUGGAGGAGCUACGGGCGAAAGCUUUACCCGAUUGGUAUCGGUAUAAGCAACGACGGCAUCGCUUGGGCAUUGUUUCCCUUUGUUUAGGCGUUUGUUGUGAUGCUCUCUGUAAGGUCAAUGAUCUUCUAGGUGAAAACUUUACUCCGGCUUGCCGAAUGGGUGGUGACGGUGUCUUCGACGCCAUGUCCUUCUUGGAGGCGUCGCCUUGGAAGUACUUUGGCCUGACCUUUCAUUACCUAUGACGGAGUCUGUUGUGCGAGCGAUAAAAGAUAAGUAUUCCAAUUCCGGCAUCAUGUUUCUAAGCAGAUGAAAGAUGUGAUGGCUUGGCGAUGCAUAAAGACACACAAGGACUAUGCAUGGAUGAAGAAAAAGAAUGAAACUUAGUCUUCUAAUUAUUUUCUUUGUCUUCGAGGUUUUUUUUAUGUUUUGAGCUCCUCAUUGUUGAGGACUAGAGUUUAAGAACUCUUUAUAACCUUUGGUUGUAUAUGUCCACCAUUUGAAUAUAGUAGGCUAGAUUUUAUCCUUAAUCUAAAAAUCAAAGUUGACUAAAUUUUGUUGUGAUGUACUCAUGAGUUCUGAAAACCCUGUGAUCAUUAACAAGUGAAUCUGCUUUAUUUUUUUUAGUUUUGAUUUGUGCAAACACAAACAACAUUUUUAACUAGCCAAAAGAAUCUAGAUGCUAAACAAACAAGAGUCUAUAAAAGAGGUAUCACCGAUUCAGCAUCGAAGAUGCAUAAUUUUCCUUGUUCUAUCCACUGCGACAUCACAGAUCUUUCCUCGCGGACUCAAUAUCAACUCGGUCACCAUCACAGAGAGACAGAAUAUUUUCAUAGAGGGGGAUAUGAUUGAUUGGACAAUUUCAAAAAGUUUAGGAAAAUAAUAUAAGCUCAAAUUUCGCCUAGAGGAUCAAACUGAAUUGCAUGGAGUAACAAAAUGGAUCUUUUCAUUCGACAAAAAAAAAUAUACUGAUCUCUAUUCCCAAAUUAUAACUCAGAGCACGAACUCGAUGGUGUCGCCUUUGGUCAACAUGGAAAACUUACUCUUGUGAAUGACCACCCGGAGCUCCGUUGGCCCUACUACAUCGGCACUGCCAUUGUCGGCCUGCUCGUCACUGCCAUUGCCGGCCUUCUCGUCGCUCCCAUCGCUGCCACGGUGAAUCACCUCCACGCCGGUGAACAAAGCGAACCUCUUGUCGGUUUCUUCAUGGAGACACUUGCUGCAGGCUGACCUUCUGGUCUCGAAGAACUGGGUGACGCAGAACUUGCCGGAGCCGAGGCUGACGAUCCGGGGCUCGGGCACCACGACCUUGUGCCACCCCCACGGCGGCUCUAGAUUCCGGCAGUCGUCGCGACCAUACCGCAGCAGCGAACGUCUGUCCACGUCAGCGAAGAGGUUGCCGGUGGCGUACAGGCUGUUGUUGUCCUCCUCACGGCAUUGUUUCACGAAGCCAAGCCAGAGGCCGAGCUCCCGGUCGUGCUCGAUCUUGCCGGCGAACGGCAGGGCCCAGCCGCCGGCCUUGCUCCACGCGCGGCUCGCCGUGUCGAAGCAGUGUGUCCCGCGGCCUUCCGUGGACACGCAGAUCACGUCGGAGGCGUCGCCGGCCUGCGCGUAGGAGACGAUCUCCAUGGUGCCCUUGUAGCCGGCGUCUUCAGCGAAGGGCGGCCGCGGGAGCUCGUCGAGGUGCCAGCGCUUAUCGUAGUCCGAGCCGCGGCCGCGCGGCGUGCGGUGGACCAUGGCCUGGAACUUGAGCCAGUUCGUGGCGUCGUCUCCCUCGGGGUCUCGAUCAAUGACGUACACGCCUUCGUCGGGUUCUCCGUUGUCACCGCCGGCGCCGGCAGCAACGGGGAAGUAGGCGCGCCGCCAGGGCCACCGCUUGCGCUCGGGGAAGCCGGCCAUGGUAACGACGCGGCGCUUGUCGGCGUCGUACAGUGUUAGGAAUAAACCCGCCACGGCGUGUUCAUGGUGGCGUGCGAGUGUGCCGUGCCAUGGUGUGUUCGUGGUGGCGCGUCUGAGUCAGGUCGCGUGCGUGCGUUGCAGUUUGUUUGAGUCUGGUUAGAUCCAUAGGUUCAGGUUCAGCUGCAUGUCGUGUACAUGCGUGUGUGUGGGUAGUUACGUAGCAAUCACUAGUUUGUUAGUGGACGGAGUGGGUCGUGUACGCGGGUGCCGAUCUGCAUGAAGAUGGCCACGUUGUCCGGGAGAGCGAAUGGCUCACGACGACGUUGUGCAUGUCAUGCGGAUCAUGGCAGGAAGGCCGGACGUGGAGGAGUGCUCCUGGCAAGUCCGUGGCCUAUUUGUAGCCCCUGCGCCCCUCUGUUCAUUUUGCCGAGUCCAGUGAAAUACAAGUGCCGAGAUACCGGAGCUAUCGGCUCCACGGCGUUCGUCGCCGGCAGCAAGAAAAGCUAGUGUGCAUCCCUUGCAUUUUUGUUGCGAGCGUGAGAUAGAGAGCUAGCCAUCGUUUCGUUCCUGGUGGUGGCCAACAUACAGGAAGGCGCCGCGCGAGUUGCAGUCCACGAACACCGUCCUGCCCUCCGACAGGGCUGCGCAGUCCAGCCUGCUCCAGAGGGAGCCGUACUCCGGGUGCGGCGUCGGCUCGAAGCUCAGCCUCGGCGACGGCACCAGCAUCUCCAUCAGCUUCUCCAGCGACUCCUGCCCGGUCGUCCUGCCAUCUAGGACGGCCGGAUCAUCCUUCUCCGCGGCGAAGAGGAUCUCCGAAUCCUUGGCGGCCGCUGCGUCCUCCGCCGCCUUCGCCGUUGGAUAGAACAGGCUGUUCUGGCGCGAGAGGAGGUCGAGUCGGUGCAGCGAGUGCACGCCGGUGAACUUGUUCUUCAAAACCAGAUUCAGAACCCGCCGCCGGUGGCUCAUCGUCGAACGGUGGGAAUCGAUGGACACGGAGAGGGCAGGCUAGGGCAUGCAGCGGAGACGCCGAUGGGGCGCGGCGCAGGCGCCGCUGUUCCUAAAAAACUGGGUUUUUUUUCCAGGCUGCAGCCCAUGGGCCCUACUCAAAAGAUGUCUAAUAUAUAUUCCUCGAGGAAAUUCAAAAAUCAAAAGUUUAUUUACAGCUCAAGACACAAGAUAAAAGGGAUGAUUUUAGUGGCCAGAUGCAUUUUGUAAUACAGUUAACAGUUUUUUCAUGCUCUCAACACAAACAUCCUGCUCCGCCUAUGAGUGCUUGUAGCCCUUCUACGAGAAUUUUCAGUGUUGGUCACCGUGUGGUAACACUACAGUUUUUUCAUGAUCGAGGAUUUGUCUUAUACCACCUCUAACAAAAGAGAUACAAAUAUUUUCCAGGUUCAAAAUAUAUAAAAGAUCAAUAAUACUUAUGAUAUCAAAUGAGCAUUAUUAUAUAUAUCAUUAUGAAAUAUAUUUUUCUAUUUUAUUUUUUAAUGGGUUAGAUAUUACACUACGGGAUCCAGGCCCCUCGGCAAAGCCCAAAAACACUCGGCAAACGACACUCGGCGUAGGUUUUAAUGGCAAAAAGCAGUUUGCCGAGUGUCAACCCACCCUCCCUCGCCGGAUCCGGCACCCCCUCGCCGGAUCCGCCCCCCUCCCUGGAUUCGGCGCCGUCUCGCCGGAUCUGGCACCCUCUCCCCGAAUCCGGCGCCCUCUCCCCGGAUCCGGCAGCGGCGGGCUUGGUGGUGGCGGUGGCGGCAGCAUGGGCAGUGGUGGGAUGGGCGGUGGUGCCGGAGGAGGAUUCGGUGGUGGAGCAGGAGGUGGCGUUGGCGGAGGAGGUGGCCUUAGUGGUGGUGGCGGCGGCGGCAUGGGAGGUGGAGCAGGCGGAGGAGGCAGGCUUGGUGCUGGUGGUGGUGUUGCUGCUGGAGCAGGAGGUGGCCUUGGUGGUCGCGGUGGCAGCAGAGGAGGAGGUGGUGGUGGCGGCGGAGUAGGAGCUGGUGCUUGUUUUUUUAUUUUUUUUUCAAAAAAUGUUUGCUGAGUGUUUUUUGGGAGGUGGAGGGAGGGAAGGGGAGGGAGAGGGGCGGUGCCGGGAAGAAGAAGGGGAGGGGGAGGGGCGGCGCCGGGAAAGAAGAAGAGGAGGGGGAGGGGGAGGGGCGCCGGUAGGGAAGAAGAAGGGGAGGGGAGGGGCGCCAGCGGGGGCCAGCCGCCGGUGGCGGCGGCAGGGAGGGGAGGGGCGCUGGGGCGGGUGGGGAGGGGCGCUGGGGAGUUCAGGUGGGGAGGGGCGCUCAGGGAGUUUAUUAGUACGUGCGUGCGUGGGCUUUGCCGAGUGCCCUGGAUCUGGCACCAGGCAAACCAGUGUUUACCGAGUGCUAGAUCGGGGGCACUCGGCAAAUCACUUGUUUGCCGAGUGUUUUUAUAAAAACACUUAGUAAAUCACUUGGUUGCCGAGUGUUUUUAUUUUGCCGAGUGGUUUUCGGAAAACACUUGGCAAAGAGCUAUUUGCCGAGUGCCCGAGAAAUACACUCAGCAAAUAUAAAAACACCCGGCAAACUUAAAGAUUCCGGUAGUGUUAAUACUCUUCUAGUAUUCUCCGUAAAUUUGGUCAAAGCGUGAACUUAGGAGAAACUUAGAAGUCCUUAUAUAUUUUUAUGGAAGGAGUACGCUAACUUUGCUUGAUAUUUUCAUAUGGACCUUAAUUAACUAUCCUAUACUGUUGUGGUACCUUAAACCUUAUUAAACGAUGGCAAGGAGCAAAAAUUGCGCUACUAGCAAUUUUGUUGUUUGUUGUCGAGAAGAUAAUCUCUUCUAGAGCAAUGGAAGGAUCGAGCAAACAAAAGACUUCCACGAUUGAAUGGAUCUGUGAGGAACGGCAGCAGUAAGUGGUGUUUCCUUUUUGCCACAUGCAUGCAAUCUAAGCUAUGUUACCGUAUGCAGAGUUGCUGAUUUUGAUUGCACUGACCGGUUCAAAGAGGCCAUGCAGUGACAUGUAGAUGAUGAAGUGUUUCUUUUUGUUUCUGUUUAUAUUACUGUUUGGAUAAAAAUGAGUAUAUUAACUUCAAAAUUCCCAUGUUAUACUUCUUUGUCCACGCGGGAAUCAGCUUCAUGCUUCAAUCUCAUUGAUGAUUUUUAUGACUAUAUAUGUCGUCUACCUAAGCUAAGAUAUUUCUGCGAAGCUGAUUGUUAUUGCUAUCAUUCUUGAGAAGGUCUACCCUGCAUUUUUUAACCCCUCAGGCAUCCUCAUGAAGCAAAAAGUUCGAAAGGGUGUUAUGAAACCCAUUUUUCCUUCAUCUUCUUUUUUAUUCUAAUUUGGUGGUAACUCGAGAAUAAGUCCAACAAUGACAAUAUUCUUGAGAAGGUCUACCCUGCAUUUUUUAACCCCUCAGGCAUCCUCACGAAGCAAAAAGUUCGAAAGGGUGUUAUGAAACCCGUUUUUCUUUCAUCUUCUUUUUUAUUCUAAUUUGGUGGUAACUCGAGAAUAAGUCCAACAAUGACAACAUUUCGCUGUUAGCGGCGUCGUCCACCACUUUGUCCACUCUUUCCAAAGGAUAGUCAUCUUUUGGGCAGGCCUUGUUUAGGUCAGUAAAGUCUAUGCACAUUCUCCACUUGCCAUUCUUCUUUUUGAAUGGUACGGUGUUAGCUAGCCAUUCUGGGUAGAUGAUCAAGCGUAUGAUGUUGUCCUUAAGGAGUCUUUCAACCUCGGAUUUCACGGCUUGGGCUUUUUCUUCAGACAUUUUCUGAGUUUUUGCUUGUUUGGCUUUAUGCCCGGCUUUAUUUCGAGCCCGUGUUCGAUUAUAUCUCUGUCGACCCCUUGGAGGUCACUAGCGGACCAGGCGAAGAUAUCUUUAUUUUUUUAGGAACUCAAUUAAUUCUUUCUCCUACUCGGACUCAAGGUUAGCUCCUAUUGUGACAUAUCUAUCCAUGAUAUAGCCAUCCAAGAGAACUCUCUUUGUUUCACCAUCCGCGCUUAUCUUCACCUUUUCUUUGUCCCUUUUGGGCUCAUCAUAUGACUUUUUUCUCUUCUUGUUUCUCAACCUUGUUGGGAGUCGUUAGGUGGUGGACAUUCUUUUGCCCUAGGGUUACGCCUUUUUCUAUAUUCCUGGUGGUUUGUUGGUCGCCAUAGAUCAUGAUGGCUCCUUUCAAGGCUGGGAUUUUCAUACAUAAGAACAGUUGCCUGAUUGCUACAUUGAAUCUGUUGAUGAACCCUCUCCCGAGGAUAGCAAAGUAGGGGUAGUACAUUUCGACAACAUCAAAUGUUAUGCGUUCCGUUCUUGUGUUGUCCAGAUUUCCAAAGGAGACGAGGAACGUGAUUUUUCCCAAAGCUUUAACUGGCCUUCCCCAAAGCCAAGCAGUGAGACUUCUGCCGGCUCGAGCAAGAGAGGGUCAAUUUUCAUAUCUCUAAAGGUUCUUGCAAAGAUAAUGUCCACGGAAUUUCCGUUGUCCACUAGAACCUUUCCUAUUUUCCAGCUAGCGAUAAUAGCCUCGAUCACCAUCGCAUCAUUAUGCGAGGCUGUUUUAAAUUUGAAGUCCUCUUAUGUGAAAGAGAUGGGCAUGUGUGCCCACUCUAGCUUGGCUGAAGAACCAUCAGGUAUAAUCAUGUUCACCUGCUUGAAAGAAUCUUUCUUUUGCCUUUUAUUUUUGAACUCGAGGGAAGACCCUCCAGCGAUUGGCAUUAUCAUGCCAUAGGUUGGUAAAGCAUUUGAGCUAUCCUCGUGAUACUCUUACUGUGAGGAUCCCCCUGAGAUUGGCAUUAUCAUGCCGUAAGUGGGUAAGACUUUGGGAUUAUUGUUUUGUGGGUUGUUUGGCUCAGCUUUUGGAAUUUCGUUGGGUAGAUUUGGUGGGGGUAAUGGUAUCUCGUGGAGAUGCUGGGAAGGUGCGAAGCUUUUAGUCUAUGAGGCUUGCUGAGUUUGGAGGCGGAACUGUGGUGAAUGCUGCCACAUCAUGGUAGGUUGAAAGCUUGCGAGGUUUGGGUUCGGGUAGUAUGGUGGUUGCGGCCAAAAGGUGGUGUGGUGGAUGGUUUUGGGUGCUGUAGCCGCCUUUUUUCUCUUUAGCCAUUCUCUCGAGGGUCUUUUUAGUUUCUGGACAAAAGUCCGUUGCAUGAUCAAGCUGUUUACCAUGGAAGGUAUAGUAAAUAGUCUCUGUUGGUUACUUUGGUUACUUGGCCUCGGAGGACCUCUUCCUCAGCCUCUUCCCCUUUUGACGUAGCCGCCCCUCUGGCCGCUGCCAAAGUUUGGUUGGUGUUGGUGGUUUUGAUUUUGGUUUUGGUUUGGGUUCUGUUGCGAGGGUUGAUUACCCUCAAUUGACAGUACUUGUUGAGAUGGGUAUGAGUUGUGUUGUUGCUGGUGGUUGUAACACGAGGUUUGCUAGUUUUGGUCUUUUUCAGCUUGCCUCUGGUGGUUUCUCUCCACCACUCUCCUCCUGUGGUCUUCAUCCGAUCUACAAUAUUUGUCUAGCUCCGCGAACAAAGCUUCCAUUAUUUUUGGCUUUUUUCUUGAUAGCUUCGAGGCUGGGCCUAGGUUGAGCCCCUUGAUGCAGGCUGCUAUGGCCACGCUAUCCUCCACAUCUAGGGUUUGUGACUUGAGCUUGACAAAUCUUUUCACAUAGCUUGUUAGCGGCUCUUUAUUUUUCUUCACACAGUUGAAUAGAUCUCCUUCAUCAGUCACAGCUCUGUGAAAGCCUUGGAAGUUUUGGACUAGCUUGGUUUUGAGAUCUAUCCAGCUGUAUAUGGAUUGUGGUUGAAGCAGAGAGUACAUAUUCAAUGCUGCACCCUCGCAUGCUAUGAUGAAUGAUUUAGCUAGCACCACAUCAUCUCCUCCGGCCGAGGCUAUGGCUGUCUCGUAGCUCAUGAGGAACUGGCGAGAAGCUAUUUGCUCGUUGAACUAUGGCAACGUGACUGCCUUGUAAGUUGCAGGCCAUGGGGCUGUUUGCAAGCCCAAGGACAGUGGGGAGCUUUUGUCAACUAUUGUGCAGGCGCUUGUUAUCACUAGGGUGUUGUGCCCAACGAACAUGGGAUUUGGGUAUAUUAUGGGUGUGUCAUUGGUGAUCAACCCCAGGAGUGGCGGUUGUGGUGGUGGUUGUGGUGUGUUGUGCAAGUAUUGCAACUCAUUUAGCUCUUGUUGCAGUUCUGCUAGUUACCUCUUAGCCUCGUUUAGCUUUGCUAGCUUGUUUGCUACUUGAGUGAAUUUUUCUUUUUCCUUCUUCAAUGCUUCGAGCUGUUUGAGCGCAGAGGCCAGUUCCUCUUCUGUUUCUUCGAGGGUAUCAUUAUGUGAAUUUGUUUGUGGUUGUACUUGGCUCGAGGUUUCCGCCUCACUUCUCCUUUUCUCACUUCUUGUUCUCAGGUUGGCUUCGAUUCUUUUUAGUUUUUCUAUUUUAUCAGUGUUGCUUUGCUCGACUUGGACGAGUUGCCUUUCCUACCCUACCUCGACCUCGGUGGUCUUGCUUUUUUUCUAGGGUAGCAUCGUGGGUUUCUUGUUGGCUCAGAACACAGUGGGCGCCAAUGUUGGGAAACAGAUCGGGAAGAAACUCGAACGCAACAAUGUUAAGGAAGCAAUCAUGAUUCAAUUCUGAGAAAUGAACAUCCAUUUACAUCGAGGUAGGGCUCCCCUUUUAUAGUGUCUCGAAAGACACUUUACAUUUCAUGAAUACCCUUUCUCAACUAUUACAUUCUCGGAAUAUGCUAUACAUAAAGGUCUUUUGGAGAUAACUUGUGCGACUUGGUUUCCUCUACCGAGUCACGCUUCUCACGCCUUUGGGCAAUCCCGUAAAUCACGCUCUCAGGCAAUCCCGCAAACCACGCCUUCACAUUUCCAACGCCAGCAUGCAGUCAUGCUUUACACGCCUUUACGCCUCCAGCCUCGUGGUGGUAGUCUUCUUAACCUCGUGCUUGAAAUCAUCUUGGCCUUGCACUCGAAGUCAUCUUAGCCUCGUGCCGGAAAGAUGUCCAACCUUGUGCUUUGAGCCUUGGCGUGCUCAUACCAACGACCCUGAGUAAAACAUAGAGAAAAACUCAUCGCCUGAGGUUAGGUUCGGCCGCUCGAGGGUGAGCUUCGUUAUAGUCUAGUCAUCAGUAAUUAUUUCUUAGCUUUGAGACCAAAUUUACAGAGGUGCUGUGAGGCUAGCACGAUUUUCACACCAGAUUGGCCCCACGAGAUUAGGAACCUUCGCUCGAGGUUGGUGAUCUUGACCUCGAAGGUGACUGUCUUUUUGGGCAAUCCCCAACAGAAGGGAUGCCCAACUUGCUUGAGCUUGAUCCAUGCAGAAUGAACUUGUCUCAUGGCUGGCGAUGCAAACAGGUUGUCUCGUGCUCACGCUUGUUGGCGCCAUGCAUUGGAUUGGAUGAUCUACAUCGUUUGCAACUCUACAUGCAUGGUCUCGCCAUCGCCAUCGGAAAGAGCAAAUUGAUGGACAAGGCUGUAAGGGUGAGCCUAGUGAGAUCAGUCCUCACAUCAAUACCCAUAUACUUUCUCACUGUGUUCUCCUUGAAAAAUGGGCUCUAAAAAAGAUAGAUAGAUUAAGAAGAAGCUUCUUAUGGAAGGGAUCUAAAAAUGCUCAUGGGGAACACUACCUGGUCAAGUGGAAGAAAGUCUUGCUGCCCAAGAACUUGGGUGGACUGGGAAUCCUGGACCUUGAGCUCUUUAGCAGGGUUUUGAGAUUGAGAUGGUUAUGGUAUGAAUGGAGUGAUCCUGACAGGCCUUGGGUUGGAACUCCAACGCCAUGUGACAGUAUAGACCGGCAAUUGUUCAGAGCUAGCACAAUUGUAAAUGUGGGUAAUGGAACACAAGCCAAGUUGUGGCAAUGCAGUUGGCUGUAUGGCAAAGCUCCAAUGGACAUAGCUCCAAACCUUUACAAACUUGCUUGGAGAAAGCAAAGGAUAGUGCAGGAAGAAUUAACAAACCAUAAUUGGACAAGGAGGCUAUGGCACAUGGACUCUAUUGAAGAAAUGGCCGAGUUUGUGGCUUUGUGGGAUAUGGUGCAAAAUUUCUAGUUAAAUGGACAGGAGGAUAGUAUACAGUGGCGUUGGACAUCAAAUGGUUCAUACAAUUCAAAAUCAGCGUAUACCGCACAGCUACAAGGAACUUUCUCAACUUUAUAAGGUAGUAAUAUCUGGAGAGCUCAUGCCGAAGGAAAACAAAAAUUCUUGCUUGGCUCCUUGUCCAAAGGAAGAUCCUCACAGCUUAUGUUCAAAAAUUGAUGGCAAGAAACUGGCCAUGUUCAAAAUUGUGUGCAUUAUGUGAUCAAGUACCCGAAACUGCAUCUCAUAUCUGCUUGUAGUGCUGUUAUGCAAAGGAAAUCUGGUUUCUUGUUUCCAAUUGGGUGGGUUCUUGUGCAGAUGUACUCACAGGCACUAACGGUAAUAUUCAGGAAUGGUGGAGCAUAACUUUGGCGCCACUGAAUGCAAAGCAACGAAGAUCAGUCGCAACAAUUCUGAUGUACGCAACGUGGAACAUUUGGAAGGAAAGAAAUCGAAGGAUUUUCGACAACAAAACGCUUUGGCCUGAUCAAGUUUUCAGGCUAAUUCAAAAUGACAUUCUAAUACGAAGAAGGGCGUGUGGCACUCCUUUGCUUCAAGAGGAACUUCUUGUAUCUUAAUGUCUUCAUGUGUUCUUUCAUUUCAGUGGUGCAUGAGAGCAAACUUUUAUUCUGUAAUAGCAUUGUAACUCUAAUGUCGAACUUCUAACUCUCUUAAAAGAAAGAGCAACAGUGAAGCUGAUGUCUUGCUUGUGUCUUCUUAGCUAGUAUGAAUGUGAUAUAAAGAAAGCUAGGGAAGAGAACUGGUCGGUCGUUACUUGCUCCUAACCACCGGGCACGAUCGAGAUAGAUGCAGGCAAAGCCAUUCACGGAUCAAAGUGAUUGAUGCUGGAUUGCGUUUUCGGUUACAAACGGUAUCAUGAUAAUAUUCCUCCUUUCAGUAACAAACGGUAGUAGGUAGGAGUACUUCAGAAACGGCAGUGAUAAUUAAUUGCUACGUAGUUUCAUAAGAGUGUUUUUUUUAAAAAAAUUUCUUUCUUUUCGGUGCAACACUAUUUGUGCCAUAUAUUGACCCUCUGAUCCCGACCAAACUGAAGAGGCUCAAUGGCAAAAUGACCUCUACUACUUAACUUUGCCGUUUAGAAAUGCUUCACGCAUUGCUUGUAACCUGAGCCGCAACUUGUCCAGCGGUGGCAGGUGAUCCUUCACCACCGGCGAGCUCAAGAAAUUCCCCAUCCACGCAGACAGGGAAGGGAGCUUCUCCUCUGUUAUCAUCUUGACGCCGGUGAUCUCCUCAUAUAUCGGAAUCACAUACGACAGCGGGCCAAGUGAUAAGUCCACGAAGCCGAUCUUCUCGCCAGCGAAGAAUCGCUUCCCAUCAAGCUCCUUCUCCAGAACCAGCAGGUGGUCUAUGGCAGCUCCGUGUGCAUCCUCCUGUUCUUGGCCUUGCGUGGUGAACCACUUCCAAAUCGGUGGCGAGAGCUAAAAGAAUAUACAAUUACAUGCUUGUUUUAUGUUCUUCUCAAACUAUAUGAUGUAUGGAUGAAUGACUGCAAUUGAAGGUUGGAAUCAAAAGUUGAUCUAGGUUUCAUACCAUUGAAUCAUUGAUUACGCCAAACGAGCAAAGCAUAACGAAAUGUCGUCUGGGCUGCAUCUCUGGCGAGAACCUGCUCCGCAGCGUGGGUUUGGCGGCCAGGACAAACUCCACGUGCUCCGGGGAGACCCUCCUCAUCACCUUCUUCUUCGUCGUCUUCUUCACCGUCGCAGUCGCAGCUGCCUUCUCCUCCUCCUCCUCCGCGAUCACCGGCGUCUGAAUGAGUUCACAUAACGUCCCUGUCUGACAUAACGUCACCAAAGCUGACUAAACCGCGAUUACCGGUGACUAGCAGUAUGUCGUUGCACAUUGCAGCCGCCAAAGCUGACUAAACAUUGAAACUAUUCAGUCUGCAUAACGUCCCUGCCUCAUCAAACAGGAUUUCUUCUCUCUUUAUUAAUUGGUGGUGGUGACUAGUAGUAUGUCGUUGCACAUUGCAGCACCAGGUGCUAUGUACUGACACAUCCCAUGAGUGUUCAACGGCUUCUAAUUAGAGAAAGAACGUUGCUUGAUCCCACACGCGCUUCUGAGAAAUUGGUGUUGAUAUUUGGCAUUCUCAACGUUGGGCUGCAAAAUUCGCCAUUUUUUUGGGAAACUGCCACCGCCAAGAUCGAAUCAGAUAUAGAAAUAGAAUAAUACAAGAUGUCCUCUGUUCUUUCAGGAACAAUGGUCAAAUCGAUCAGGGCUUGGAUUGAUUCACUGCUAUUGCUAGCAACUACUGUACUAUUCCUUUGGAGCCGAAGGAGUGCGGGAGCCCCCACGGACCAGCAGCAGCUCGGGAGUUGUCGUAGUUGCAGGACAAGGAGUGGAUCGCCGUGGAAUGGUACAAGGUGACGCUGCGGAGGCGAGGAGCGUUGGACCCACGCAUGUAACAUGGCUGCCCCACGCUGCCUGAUCACGCCCCGAGGCUGCAUCCAUCCAUCGUCCAUAAUUCAUACUAGUAGCAGUUAGUAGUAAAAAGUUAAAACUAAACAAGUUUGUUUAUCAUAGGCACAGGAAGUAUGCAUGAUUAUAUUAAAAGGAUGUACCGACCGAAGUAUGAUUAUUUGUGUGGUAUCUCUGCUGGGCCUUGGGAGUAGCACACUGCUAUUUUCUCGGCCUUCAACCCAUGGCAAUGGGAUGUAGGAGGUAUGCUUUGACUGAAUCAUCAUAUCCGAGCUUUCAUCAUCACCAACAAGGCUCGCCGGAACAACGGGCUGCCACCCUUCAACCUGCGCUACCCUUCCAUCCCUCCCUCGCCCUCGUCCCAAUCCCAAAACAUUGUUCGCACCCCAAAGCUCCUGAAAUUAAUAUUAUUAAUCACCUCCUCUUUCUUUUACAUACUCAAACACAUGAUGAACUGGUACGAUGUUCUAUAUAUGAAGCAGGGAAGCAGAGAGCACAACUACUGAUGGAUCGACAGCGAUCGAUCAGCAACAAGCAUCAGUUACACAUCACUGGAGGGUAUGUGCAUAUAUGUAUGGAUCACGAACCUUUGCGAGGUAGGCGAGGGCUCCUCUGAUGCUGAAGCUGACGCUGGCGCUGUCCGGGUUCCUCUCGAGCGCCCGCCCCAGCUGGAUGCUGAUGAGGAGAGCGCCGGCACGAUGAUGAGCAGCACGGCAGCCCCCGGGGAGCUUGAGCUUGUUUGCCAUUUCUAUUCCACUUUCUUCUGUUGGAUCCUGUCGACAGAUCGAUCUCCAACUCCCUCCAAUAACCAACUGAUACUACAGAACCGCAGAAUCAAAGUUGCUGGCAAUUCUUGUCUAGUGUCACACCUUGAUUUCAGGAUGUGUGGUUAGAAAGAACAAGUAAACAAUAUUUUUCUCAUAGUUUUAAAAAAAUUCCAACAUUUAUUUUCUUGACAGGAAAUUUAGUAUAGAAAAAUAAUUGGUUGUUUUUUUUUAAAUUAAACAAGGUUGUUCUGUGUGUAUUGCAUUCAUGCCGAUGCAUCUUGGUAUUUUUUGAGUGAAAAAAGUUUUAAAAUGCGUUGAGUCGAUGAGCAGGUUCUUUUGAUGAUUUUCCAACUUUUUCUGUAAUUUAUUCUCAUUUUUUAGAGCUAAAUCUAUUUAUCAGAGGGCUCUAGUUUCUUUUUCACAAGCUCCAAGUAUUUUAUUUGGACUUCUCGUGUCCCAAAACUAUCUCUAAGAUUUUUCAUGAAAUUUUUAGGAUUUUCAGAGUAUUUUUUCUGGUUUAAAUGGCUUAUCAUUGGUUCUCUUGAUUUUUCUUUGCAUGGGAAAUUAUUUCUGGAAGUAAAAAACCUAUCUUAUCUUUUUGGGCUGAGCUCGUGGGCUCAACCCGCUCUAGGCCGUCAGCUGCUAGCCCAAUCUCCAGCUCAACCGAGGCCCACCUAGGCCUGGCCAACAACAGCUUUGGCAUGCACAAUCGCGCCGCUAGCUUGGGGAGGAGAAGGGGAGGAGGGAAGGGAGGGGCAGGGGGAGGAGCAGCGCGGUCCUCGCUGCUCGCCGACGCUAGCGAGGCGAAGGCUGGUUGCUGUGGGGGACAGGUGAAGGAAGAUAAUGGGCGCAGAGGUGGAGGAAGAUGAGGGGGUGUGCGGCUGUUUUUUUUUAAUUCGCGUGAUGGUUGAUGGGAUAAGUAUGGGUGGGGAUUGGGGAGGGCUCUCGACCGAUCGCUAAUGGGAGAGCCCUCUCCGCCCAGUCGCCUCCAAAAAUUAAAUUAUCCGAAAUUUUCAAAGUUUGCUAUAUAUAUAUAUUUUGUCACACAUAAUGAGUGCUACCGAGUAAUAUCUAGAAAUCUCAGAUUUGUUGGCUUUCGACCAGACGAGCCCUGCAUCUCCUCCGUCCCACGUGAGCAGAGCGCUACCGCCGCCGUCGGGAUCUCCUCGCUUCGGCCUCCUCCGCCCCUACUAGCCUCAUAUCUAAGCUCCUCGCCGCACACCCUCUCCAUCCAUCCCAACUACGGAUUCCCAAGCAUAGCGUGUAGGGGAUCAGGGAGGAAAUCUACAGGUUUCAUGUGAGAGCGCAGGGAGCAGGCUCGCUAUGGCCGCUGGCAAUAGCCGCGGCCACGCGUCGCCCCUCCGCCCCAGACACCUUCUCCCUAAUUUCCUCCCCACCAGCAGUUGUCGUCCAUUCGCCGGAGGCACUGUGCUGCACUGCCACACCCGCUCAGGAGCUCCGUCGCCCGUCCUCACUCCGCACAAGCCAUGAGGUCCCCUCCCCUACAGUCGACGCUGGGCUUCUCCUCCCAUCAAGUUGCGACCGGCAGCCUCUCAUCCACGCUCAGCGCAGCUUCCUCCACCUCACCAUGUGAGCAGGUGAGGCCCGUCCGUGCUUGGGCCACCGCCUAUUGCGGCAGCCAGCGACCACUAGGUUGCGUGGUCUGCCGAUUGUUGUUGUGCCCGGCUACUACGACUUCGAUAGGCAUGGCUAGCCGGUAGCUAACCCGGGAGCUAGCCCCCCACGCUCCUCUGCGGCCAUCUGGAGACCGACACCGACGAUGACGACGUUGACGAAGUCUUGUUGGUGGAUCCACCUCCACCAGUCGCCAGGCUAGACAAUUGCAGGGGUGUGGGGUCCAGCUCCAGCGACCUCUCCUACUAUACCAUCCUCCACACUGCCGCUGUCGUCGUUGCCACCAACACCACCCCUCCCCGUUCCGCCAACCACUUCCUAAGUUAGCGUCGCCCACGCUUCUUCGCUAGCUCUUCCCAAACCUCUUUGUCUUGUCGGGGGGUUCUGCACCGUCCACAAAUCAGGGCCCGAGCUACUUCAACAUCAGCACGGCUCCACUGCUACCCAAUGCCAAGAAUGACCCCCCCUGCGCAGCAUGAGAACCAGGUGCCACCAUGGACAGGGGUGAAUUGAGGACGUACGAGGUAUUCAAGAUGCUACGGCUCACCAAGCACAUGACAUCAACGAGACCGCCACUUGAGGUCGCGUGGAGAAGGACCAUGCAAUUCAAGACGCACUUUCUUGAUGUCUGGCCUGCAAUAUAACUAGUUCAUCUCGACGGGACUUCGUGCCUUCCGUGACAAAAUAAAUGGGCAUUGUUUCAUCUGUCUUGCCCACGACCACCGUGCCGCAACAUGCUGCGAGCCUGUUCGUUGCUUCACCUGCCUUCACUCUGGCUACCGCGCUCAUGACUGCAGCCGCGACGACAAUAUGCACCAUUCCUCACGCUCACGAGAUGCAACCCGAGGAUGUCCCCGCACGCCGAGCUUUUAGCAGCCUCUGCACCCACCAUCAGAGCUACUUAAGUCCAAUGAGUUAUUAAAUCUACAAGUUUUUUUUAUCACGCAAACUUCCAUUCUCCGCAAUGAAGUACAAACGGAUUGUUGCUAGUGCCACCUUACCUCUUCAUGCUCGGCUCAAUGAACUACAAGGAAAAAUCCAUGAUUGGCUAAGGAACACUGAGGAAUAUGUCCUCCAACCUGAGUUUACUGGCACUCAUGGGAAACACAUAUAGCAGCAAUGCGAUGUGGUCGACAAUGCCAAGGCUGCACCUACUCUCGUUGCACAGCAACCUCCGGUGCAUCAAGUAUUCAAUAGGUUGCUGCAAGACAUGCCAUUGGUUGAGACAUAUUGCACUUCUAGCUCCGUCUCUCACCAGGACAUGGAGGAUGCGCUCCAGAGACUUGAGAUGGUCGCCAAUGGCUACGCAAAGGGUAACGUGGGUGGCAUGUUGCCCCCCUUAUAGCACAGGGCCGGUGGCCACCAUGGAUCUGCAUGCUACGGACAAUGAGAAGGGCAACAUUGGCAAGCAGACACUCCCUUCCAUCAAAGAGCUAGCAGGCAACAAUACAUCACCAAUCCACAUCAAUACUCUAGUUUCGACUGUCCGCACCAAUGCAACCUCGACCGCAAUUGCUGCCAUUGACAACAACUUGGUAGGAUGCAGCCCGGCCACUCCAUCUCUACUGGUGUUGCAGCCACCCUCUCCACCAAGGGCUUCAACACCAACACCGGCUAGCUCCGUUGAUGUGUUGCUCCAAAAUGAUGGCAACACAAACACACAAAUGGGCGGUGAGACAGCUCCAACUGGUGAUCAUUCACCACCCCACCAUGCCCAGUGCUUCAACCCCCAGAGCUAGAGCUACAGAGACCUCCAACACCUACAACAGCUCCUCGCCAACGCCGGCGACGCACUUUUGAUAUGUCCUCAGUUCGACGUAGCGCACAUCUCUCCGCCACUCGUCCGAUGACUCAAAUGCAACAAGCUCAGCGUAAUCUUUGUUGCAAGCUUGGGCUUUUGAAGGAUGAGCCUCAACCAAUUGAGGCUGCACUACAAGAGUUCCUCGCCACGUUCAAUGGGCCCCUACCAGUGGAGGUGACAGCUGCUCUGAAUGAGAUGUUCAACCUUGAUGAUGGCGAGGCCGAUGCGAUGAUUAAUGCCCUAAUCGGUAUGGUUGGGGAGGGCAUUGAUGAUCUACAAGAGGCAGUGGAAAAUGCAGCUAUUUGAGGGCCAUAAUACAAGCUAAUGCUGCGUGUUUGUAGUAGACAAAUAGCAAUUGACAGUGAUGUUGAGUUGUGAAGUUUGUGAUGGUUGAUUGAUGUGUAGCAUUGAAGUAGUGGCUUGGAGUUGUAGCGUUUUGAGUGGUGCGGCGCGUGUGUUUGUUGUAGUUGCUUAGAGUUGGAUUCUUAUUUUUUUUCAUUUGUUAUAUUGCCCAAUUUGGACUCCAAUUUUUUUUAAUAUAAUCAGUAACUCUGUCCCCUCCACUGCCUUAUCUUAUCUCUCUCGUAUAGGAGCUGCUCAGCACUGGAUGAGCGAGGACGUGCAGUGCCUCACACGGGACCUCAAAGGGCCGGGGGCGAAGCGCUGGGGUUGUUGCGGCGGCAGUGGAAGAUGUCGGAGAGGUAUGUGGGGAUGUUCGAGGGAGGACACGCCAUUAGUCGAGAGAGGAGAUCGAUGGAUGCCUGGGUGGCUGGAUUCAAUGGGGGGAGGGAGGGAGAAAAGGAGAGAUGAGAGGCGAGGAUAGAGCAGCGCCGCUCCGCCUGCUACUCUUUGAUUUCUAACCAGCAGUCACUGCCAGCAGAGCCCGUCCGUUUGUGAGCUAGAGCCUGCUAUGCGACGCGGACGAAUGCCAUACUCCACCUGCUUUCGUGCACUCAUUCGAUGCUGCCUACUAUGCUAGGGCGAUUGCAGCAUGUCGUUCCGUGUCUAGAGCACCAUGCAGCCUCGGAGGCUUCUCGUCCUCCGCUUGCUGCACUCUAGUGUUCCCAGCGUUUGCAUGCGCUCGCCUGUGGCCUGUGGGGCGACGUGGAAACACGCAGAGGCAGGAGCAGAGCCGCGAAAUCACUACGGGAAAGCUAAAAAUUGCCGAGUGUAUUUUUUUUGCCGAGUGUUUUUUUGCGAGCACUCGGCAAACAAGCUCUUUGCCGAGUGCCAAGCCAAAAACACUCGGCAAAUCGGAGCUUUGCCGAGUGUCAAAUAAAAAACACUCGGCAAAGCCCCCUCUUUGCCGAGUGUCAAAAAAAAAAACACUCAGCAAAGAGGGAGGUUUGCCUAGUGUUCUUUUUGACACUCGGCAAAAAAAUAAUUUUUUUCCUCUUUUCACCAUGAAAUUUUUUCUACUCCCCACAUACAACAUGUGGUACUCCAUGUUAAAAUUUGGUAUAUUUUUGGAUUUAUUUGCUAUAUUUAUUUAAUUAAUUGCAUUUCAAGGAAAUUUUUGGUAUAAGUCAAAUUUGAACUGCAAGUGAUUCAAAUUAUGGAACAAAAUGAGUACAAAAAUGAUGUUCAUGUUAUUCGGCCCAAUUUGAGACCUGACCUAUGAAAUGACAAGAAAUUUCGAACAUCUUGUUCAGGAAACACGACCACGAACGUGUGACAGUGGUAUUUUUAAAUUAUAAAAAAAACAAGGAAAGUCUGAAAAUCAUGAGAUUUGUCAUGAUGCGAUGAUAUCAUAGGUGGAGGCUGUGGAAAAAAAUUGAGAAUGUUUUGCACAUUUCGUCACGUACGAUGUUUACAAACUGAAGCAUUUCAGAAGAAGAAUAGUAAUGUUGAGAAGGAUUGCAUAAGAUUUGGACUCAAAAUGACGGUCGAGUUUUGAUUUGACUACAAAACUUUUUGUACAGUCAAUAGAGAAUAUAUAUUAUUUCAUGUAAAUUUUUGACAAUUUUUUAAAACUGUUAGAUAUUUUUUUAAAAAAAUUUUAAAAUAUCUUUGCCGAGUGUCCUAGGUUAGACACUCGGCAAACAACUGUUCACCGAGUGUCACCCUAGGACACUCGGCGACCGUUCUUUUUUCCCACCCAGCCGCAAGCCUUAUCCCGGCCUUAUCUCCUCCUCACAUCUUUCUCUCUCCCCCCGCCCCCGGCCCCGGCGCCCCCCGCCGGCCGCCGCCCAGCGCCCCCCGCCCCGCCGCUCGCCGGCCGCCGCCCGGCGCCCCCAACCCCGCCGCCCGGCGCCCAGCGCCCAGUCCCCGUCCUCGCCGCCGCCCGACGCCCGGCCCCCGGCCCCGCCGCCGCCCCCUUCUUCCCCGGCUACCUCCCCUCCGGCCGGAUCCGCGCCCCCUUCUUCCCCUCCGGCGCGGAUCCGGCAGCCCCCACCUCUCUCCCCUCCGGAUCUGGCGCGUGGCAGCGGGCGGCAGCGGGCGUGGCGGCCGGUGGCGGCGUGGUGGCCGCGGCCGUGGCCGGCGGCCGACCGCCGGUGGUCUGUUUUUUUUUCCAAAAAUGUUUGCCGAGUGCUUUUUGAUACUCGGCAAAUCAUUUGCCGAGUGCUCGAUGUUCGACACUCGGCAACUCCACGUUUGCCGUAGGAAAGUUCGCCGAGUGCCGUUCGCCAAGUGUUACACUCGGCGAACUCUUUGCCGAGAGUUUUUCGGCCUUUGCCGAGUGCCUCAGGCACUCGGCAACCUUGUUGUUUCCGGUAGUGAAUGCUGACGAGCGAGGAAAGGAAAGCUCUCUUUAAGAAACCCGAUAUAGAUCGUAAAAACUUGUAUGGUUUCAAGUCAUCCAUUUGAUAAAGUCUACAUUUCGAAAUUGUAAAGUUCAGGAUCAGAGCAUGAACUCGACGGUAGCAUUGCAUUGUGUUUGGUCAGCACAUAGCGCAUGCUCUUGUGCCUGAUCACCCGAUCCCUCCUUCAAAUUUGCGGUUCCUUGGCUCCGCGACGCCGUCUUCGCCGUCGCAGCCGCGGCGAACCACCUCAACGCCGGUGAACACAGCAAACAUCUAGCCCCUCUUCAUCGUGGUAAGAGGUGCAGGAUCUUUCCUGCUUGACGGUCUUGAAGAACUGGGCGACGCAGAACUUGCCGGAGCCGAGGCCGAUGAGCUGGGGCGCCUUGACCACGUGCCAGUCGCCGCCCGGCGGAUCUAGGUCCAGCCAGGCGCGCAGCACCGGCCGGCCACUGUACACGGCCGAGGAGAGGUCGCCCGAGGCGCAGAGACGGUGGCCGCACUCGCUUGCCCAGAAGCCGACCAGGACGCCGAGCUCCGGGACGUGCUCGACCUUGCCGUGUCGAAGCAAUAGGUUCCGAUGCCUUCUGUGGACACGCAGACCGCGCCCCCGGCCAGCGCGCAGGAGUCGAUCGCGGUGCUCCGGUAGCCGGCGUCGCGGACGUAGGGCGGCGGCGGAAGCUCGUCUCGGCGCCAGCGAUUGGCGUCGUCGUUGGAUACGAAGGGCUCCUGGGAAGAAUUGCGGCGGACCAAGGCCUGGAACUGGGACGUGUAUUUCUCCUCCGAAUCAACGAACGACCUCGGCGACCUCUCCAUGACGUAAAUGCCGUCGUCUUCAUCGGCGCCGGCGAUGGGGAGGACGAUGGGGACGCGCCCGUUCACGCGGAAGUUGGGCACGGUGCUGUCCACGCAGAGCGCGGCGGCGUCGUAGACGAAGGUGGCGCGCGAGUGGUGGUCGAAAUACAUCAUCUUGCUCUCAGACAGCGGGAACCAGUCCAGCCUCCGGCCGAAAAGAAGCGUGGAGCGCGGCGGCACCUGUAUCCGUUCCAUCUUCUUCGGAUCCGGCGCGCCCGCCGCCGCCGCCUCUGUCGGAUAGAACAGGUUGUUGUGGUGCGAGUGGAGGUCGACGCGGCGCGCCGAGUAGGCGCCGGCGCACUCGGUCCGCGUCACCGGAUUCAGAAUCCGCCGCCGGUGGCUCAUCGUCGUUAGAAGACGAAGAGGAACGCACGCAGGCUGGGCACGGACAGAGCGAGGGAGGCUGUUGCUACUAUUGAUGGGCCUGUAUCAAGUUCACGGGCCUUUGACGGUCCAUGGGCCAAUCUCGACAUAUUUAUGAAUUAUGACCUGCACAAAAGAAAGGGGAGAAGCUCAAGCGUCCGUCCGACCUCCCCUGCACGCCGCACAAAGCGUCCACCAAUGCGGUUGCGGCGGCGCUACGCGGAGUUCCUCCGCCGCGCGGCCUCCCUGCCGUCGCUGCCCCUCGUGGCCUCCCUCCACGCCGCCGUGCUCCGCCGCGGGGUCCCGACCCUCCUCGCCGCGUCCCUCAUCGGCGGCUACUCAGCCUGUGGGGACCUGGCCUCCGCGCGCGCCGUGUUCGACGAAACGCCCCCGGAGGAGCGCACGCUCUCGGCCCGCACCGCGCUGGCCGGCGCGUUCUCAGCGCACGGGCGGUGCCGCGAGGCGCUGGGACUCUUCUCCGGCCUGGAGGCGGAGAUGGACGACAGGGCGGUGACGGUGCUCCUGGCGGCGUGCGCGCGGGCCGGGAUGGUGGGCGAGGGAAGGAAGGUGUUCGCGAGGCUGCCCCGCCCCGCGCUGCAGCACUACACGUGCAUGGUGGAGAUGCUGGGGCGGGCCGGGGAGGUGGAGGAGGCCGAGCUGCUGGUGGCGGGGAUGGAGGCGCGACCGGACAGGGUCAUCUUCGCGGCGCUCCUCGCGGCGUGCCGCGUGCACGGCCGCGUCGACGUCGCCGAACGGGUGCCUGGCCUCAUGCGCCGGUACAGCAUCGCAUGAGAACUCGAAGUCGGCAGUCUCAGUCCGAUUGAUGCAUCAGCAGUCCAGCUUGCGCCCGGAGAUGCAUCUGCUUGUCUUUCAUGCACUGGUGCGUUGAUUCUUGGUCUGAGAAGCUGAUAUGGGAUACAUGGCAAUGUGGUAGUGUUGCUGUUACAUCAUAUUCUGUCAUUCAAGCAGCAAGAGCCCCUGGCUGAUGAAAUCUGAAAAAUUCUUGAUGACAUUGACGAUGACUGUUAUGGAUGGAUUGUCAUGUACUUCAGUCUUCAGGCAUUGAUUGAACCACAUGUCUGGAUGCGAGGAAGGCCUCUAGCAGAUGCCUGGAAUGUUUGUGUGUAGUGUUGGGGAUCGCCCAAAAGAACGGUCUACCUCGAGGUUGUUCGAAUCUAAGCCCACUUCUGAACUCUGCAAAACUUCUAACCUAGCACAGGAAUCCGUAACCACCGAAGCCCGGAUCUGAGCCCGAAGCCAGGAAAAGGACUUACCCUGUUUGCUAAUGAAGUGAUCUAACCUCGGGCGCUCCUAGUUGGGAGCACCAAAGUGUUUGACUGUUUUGUGCAGGGCAAGGAGACAAGCGCUACCGAAGGUGAAUGAUCGUCGAGCAAAAUGUUGAAGGGUGCCGAGGCUCCUCUAAGCCGAACAAGCCCCCUGGCGCAGGACCAAGGGUACCUGGGCGCCCCGAAGAUGAUCCAGUCCGCUGAUGCGAAGACAAGGCGAUCUGGGCGACCGAAGCUAUGGGUGACCUCAGGCGCGAGGUCAAGAAGCCUGAUGACGUGAACAACGUGGGAGCGUGAUUUGCGGAACCAUGUGAGAGCGCUAAUCACGGGGUUGUCGGGUGGCAAGAAAAACGUGACUCCCAAAUGACCUUUGUGUAAAGCAUAUUCUGAGAAUGUAGUUGUUGAGCAAGGGUAAAGAUAUAAUGUAAAAAUCUCCUCUGGGCACUAUAAAACGGGAGCCCUACCCCAUUGUAAAUUUUUACGUUCACUGUUUAAUCGAGAGAUAGCUAUAGGAGUGAAUUUGACCGAAGCUAAGGAGAUCGCCCAUUCCUAACCGGUUGUGUCUUGACCUCGCAAGAGUUUGAGGCACAACAUUGGCGCCCACCGUGUUCUGAGCCAUCAAGAAACCCACGAUGCUGCCACAGAAGAAGAAGAGAGCCACAGACGACGAAGCUGCGGAAGAGGGACAGGGCGCCACGGUUGAGCAAAUCAGGCCACCCGUGACGGACAAGGAAACCAAGCUCAAAAUAGUGGAACACAACCUAAGAGUAAGAGCACUGAAGCAGAGAGUUGAACAAGGAGUCUCGAACGAAGUCCCACUGCCCACCAAUACCCAGGACGAGCCUUCGAGUGAGUCCGAAGAUGAGCUGGAUUCAGCACUAAAGCAAGUAGAGCUAUUGAGAAGAGAGAAGGAGCGCUUCACUCAAGAGUUACAAGCCCAAAGGUAGGCAACUGAGAAACUAGUAAGGUUGAAUGAAGCCAAGAGGCAAUUGGCAGAGCUGCAAAGAGAGCUGAAAGAACUCGAGUAACUUCGCCGUACAAUCAUAACCAGGGCCGCAAUCAGCAUCAAGCCCAAGUAAUGGCAAUCGAAGGCAAUCAACCCUCACAUCACAUACCAUAGUGGCAGCAAUCCUUCGGUUUCAAAUCAACACAAUCAAAACCAUUCCAGCUUUGGCAACGGCAACAGAUGCGGACACGGAGGAAGGGGAAGAGGCCGAGGCAAUGACCCUCCGAAGCCAAACAACCAGGUCAAGCCGCAAAAACCAUUCCAUUGUGUAUUCCAUGAAAAACAACUCAAUCAUGCAAUGGAUUGGUGCCCCAUCACAUUGGAAGUUAACGCAAAUUGAGCCGCGGAAAAGAAAGCAGUCAAAGAAGUGGCCCAAGCACACAAAAC
rnacentral:lncRNA from 1 species